GCAGCGACUGGAGUUGGCGCUGAUGUGUUGGCGGUUGAUGCUGUGCUCACCGAGGAGGAGGUGCUGGAGAAGAGCUUGAAGGAAAUGCUGGUGCUGGAGGUGAGCUUGAGGAUUACAGAAGAGGGGCCUUCAUGGGUGCUGUUGUUGUGGAAAGAUUGGUGGUGCUGAAGAAGGAAGGAUUGGAGAGAAGCAUUUGCCAUGGCAGGCAGAGAGAGGGGGGCCUGAGAACGAACGGAAGAGGGGAAGGAGAGGGAGGGAAACGAUGAUAAGGGAGUGGAUGGGGUUUAGUGGCAGGAUUGUACUUGGUGGUGGUGUGGAGACUCCAGGGUAUGUUGUCCGUGUGCCCUUUUGUGUUGUGAAAAAUUCUGGUUGUGGUCUUGUAGGGGUUCAUCUCGGAGAGAAUACAAAGGAGCGCUGUGAUUGGUGGGUUCUGGGUGAGGUGAGGAUACUGGCUAUCACAGGCUUGUUUCUUUUUUCAGAAAGAUAACCCAAACCAUUUCAGUCUAUGCGUGGAUUUUGUAAGUAUAUUGUUGUGUAUAAGCCUUUUCUGGAAUAAUCUCUUCGAGAUUUUCUUCAUGAAAUACAGCGGCUAAGUUCUCUUUUGGCUGCAUGGACUAAAGGUAGUAUUCAUGAACAUGAAGUACAGAGUUCUUCAGUUGGGUUACACAACAUCCGGAUCUUUUCUUAAUUAGUGCCUAUAAAUUUUUUAUAUAUAUUAUUUGCAUUGGAUGUCAUUAUUAAGAAAUGAAGACCGUAACGUAACUGGAUUUUUUUUAAAGAUAGGAGUAUAUCUCGUGAAAACACAUCCGGAUGUAGCAUUUAUUUGCUUGAUAUUGAUGAAAUCUCUAUAAUGUUGAUGGCACGAGUUAUAACCAAAAAAUAGUGUCCUGUUUCUUUCCUCUGGCUUGGUUUCUGGGUCUAUGGACAUGGUGCACGUGAAUAUGUCGCUGCAUAGAAAUGGGUGAGGACCAUGUCCUGGACGGCAGGCCCGACGUAUGCUUGUUUUGUUGCUUUGUGGGUUGUGGCCCAUCAGCUAUUAGUUUUCUGCAUUCGACCCUAUUUGAAGUGCAUCACCCUCUUCCACAGGGUUAAGUUAUGGUUUUUCCAUACGAAAUUCUGAACGUUACUACGAAAAUACAUAUACAUUUCUCGCUAUGUUAGAUAGUUUCCAUUGGCAUAUUUCGAAUCCACGCUCUUUGUUCCGUGAAUUGUACGACUUAGUUUCUUUUACAUUGCAAUAAAAUGGUUGUGUGCAUCGACCAAUGCAGAGGCAUGGUUUUUCCUUUUCUAGAAAAACAACUAGUAGUGACGUCUCUUAACCAUAUUUCGAAGUUCCGAGUUACUCGCUUGCUACCGUAUAAUUUGUUUUUUAGGGGAAAUAUAGUAGGCCAAAACACCUACUGCUGCAUUAUAUCGUGAGCUAGGUUAUGAAUUUUCUUGUUUAAUCCAAAUUUGUAUGGGUUGGGCUAAAACGUGACUGGUCGUGCGUACGGUUUUAGUUGAACAUAGGCCACAUGAUGCAUAUGUUGUGUCACUGGUUAUUUUUCACGCCAUGUUUUCUGUAAUGCUAGUUCGGUAUUCCCUGCUUUUACACUAGCAGCUCGUUUGGUACCCAUCAUUUGAGCUUAGAAUUCAAGAAUUCAUUUCGAAUUCUGGAAACAAACUUGUUUGGUUGGCACGGAAUUGGUCACGGGAAUUCAAUCUCAAAUUUCCUGGAAUUGUAUUAUAACUAAUCCCAAUUCCUGUCCAAAAACCAUCAUUUAUCUGGAAUUGUCUCUCACUCUACAAAUCCAUAUAGUAGACAAACAUGAUUUUUGAACAAUGAAUUCAAAUUCAACCAAAUGAAAUCCUAUCAAAAAUUGGAUUUCAUUUCAUUUCUACCAAAUGAAAUGAAAGGAUGGUUAUCAAACGGGCUGAGUUCCAUUUGCAAAGGGAGAGAGAGUCCACAUGAGGAUUUUUUUUUGCAUAAAAGACAAAAUAGUUGUAUCUUUCUAAAUCAGGAAAUUGAAAAUAUUUUAACUAUCAAACUGCGCACUUUAUUUAUUACCGUCGGUUUUGUUCCGACGAGAUCCCAGAAUCCAGAUAACAUAUGAGUAAGUUCAGAUUGUGAUAUGAGUAAGUUUCGAGGAUGUUUUUCAUCUUAGAAGUUACCCCCUAGUAACUUAUUGGGAGGGUCUAAUUCUCAGUCGCCUAAGAAACAGUUAUUUCUCAGUCGACAAUCGUAGUCAUCCAAUGAAGAUUUUCUUAUCCAUCGGACUUACAUUAAUCUUACACGAAUCUCAAUGAUUGAAUCAAAAUGUUAUCAUUAUCAAAUCAGAAAUAGUUAUUUCUCAGUCGUCUAAGAAAUAUCAAAACCGUAACUUAUUACCACCGCUUUGGUACCAAAUUAACACCUGCCAAUUUCCUGGUUACUUUAAGAGAUCCAUGUCAUGUAUAGUUCUAGAUUUGUCAAUUGUGAAGAUCUUGAGGCUUGUUGUUGCUCUGCUCUCCAUUCAUUCUGAUUUUGCCAUCUACUUGGUCUCUGAUCCUUUGCUCCGUACUUGUGGACUAUCAACCUGACCAGCUAACUUCGCAUGUACUCCCUCUAAUUCUAAAUUCUUAUCCUGGUUUUAGUUUAAAGAACUAGAACUAUGACAAGAAUUUAGAAUCGGAGGGAGUAGUUCAGAAAGUCUUCAUCACUCACUCGGAGAUAGGUAUAUCUUGUUCUGAAUCAUCAAGAAUGUUUGUUCCUCCUUCCACUAUUUCCUAGGAUGCGGUGUCACUAAUUCUGAUGUUCCUCCUAUCAUACCACCUCUUCUCUGCAGCUUCAGAUGAAAUAUGGCUCUACUAGGAAUUGGAUUCCACAGGGACAAUGUCAGCACUAUCAUCUGGUUUUUGUACAAUGGGUUCCUCUAUAUUCUUUGGCCAACAUAUAUCUAUUGUCACUGCUAGAUUUCAUCAAGUCUAUCAUGAACUCCUCAAAGGUUUGUCCACUAGUAGGAUUAGCUUGAAUCACAUUCCCCACCAGCCUAGCCAUGAAAGGAUUGCCCAACGCAAAAGACUAGGCAACCUUAGAGCAACUCUAGCCGUUACCGAAUUUUCUAACCUGAAAAAAAUGCAUAUUCGGUCUACCGAUCUCGUUUUUUCUGUUCCAAUUUGACACACGCGGACCAAAUCCUGAAUACCUAAUCCGUAAAACCGAAUCUCUACAUCUGGCCCAUCUAGCCCAGCCCAACCCAGCUCCUUCAUCUUUCUCCUCCCACACGACAAGAAAAGGCAAGAACACUACGCAUAUGCCUGAUUAAAUCUCCAUCCAGUCUCCAAAUUCCAAACCGUUUUUUCUCAAAUUAAAGUCUGAGAUUCAAUCCUCAUCAAUCAACGAGCCGAUUCAGGGAAACGAUUUGCCGGAUGGAGCUAUGGACCGGUGCGGUCGGGGGCGGCCAUGGAGGCGGCCAGGGCGAGGUCGGGGGCGGCCAGGGAAUGCUUGCAGAUAGAUUGGCUUGGCAGCCCGAGAAAACAGGCUGCUUCACGGUCAAGAGUGCUUAUCAACUUGGUCUUCGCGCGCAGAUGAUUGAGGAUAAUGUAGGUGCUUAUAGUGGUAUCGCAGAUGGCAGAUGGCCGGCUUGGGAUCUGAUUUGGAAAACGCCGGUACCGAAAAAAGUGCAGAUCUUUGCGUGAAAAGUGGGUAGAAACUCCCUCUCUACCCAGGCUAAUCUCCGGCAUAGAAAUGUGAAAACUCUACCCAAUUGUCCAAUCUGCGGUGCAAAUUCUGAGGACUCGUUUCAUGCAUUAAUCUGUUGCCCCCAUGCUACGCGUCUUUGGCUGGCCAUGUGCACUGAUUGGAAUCUGUCCGACCUGAAACUGAUUGGUAAUUUCGGAGAAUGGAUCCUGGUCCUUCUGGGACGCUUCAAUGUGGAACAACGAGUGGUGAUCAUGAUGACACUGUGGCGUAUAUGGUAUGUUCAUAGUGAAGUGACACAUGACAAGCCGGCUCCUCCGACUGAAGUCUCGCGGAGUUUUCUCAACAGCUACAUUGAAACCUUGCUCCUGCUUAAACAGAACCACACAGGGCCUGAUUUAAAAGGAAAGCAGCCCAUCAAUAUGGCUGCGUUUCUACCUAAGUAUCGUCAAAGCCCAUCUGGUGUGGACAAUGCAAAAGCCCCUUGGAAAAAGCCGGACACCGAACACCUGAAGCUCAAUGUUGACGGCUCUUACUGCUAUGAGACAGCAGCUGCGGGCAUCGGAUGUGUGCUUCAUGACAGUGAGGGCAACUGUGGCCUUGCAGCCUGUCAAAACCUACGAUCGUGCAGUGAUCCGCUGGAUGCCGAGCUCACCGCGUGCGAAGAAGGCAUCCACCUUGCGCUGCAGUUCUCAACACUGCCAUUCACGGUUGAAACGGAUUGCUCUGAGGUCCUGGCCCUUGUCGACCAUGCAAAGCCGAACUUGUCCAAGUACUGCAAUACUGUGGAUGCGAUCCGCAACCUCCUGAAGGAGCGUGAAGGAGUCAUUUUGUGCAAAUGUGAUAGGAGCCAUAACAAUGUUAGCCAUAGUCUUGCUAACUUCGUGAGAAUUAGAUCAGAUCAUUGCCCAAUCCUGCUCUCUUUGGAAAGGGACCCCAACUUUCGGCGCCAGAAACCUGCCCUGAGAUAUGAAGUGUUUUGGGAGAGAGAAGCCAACCUGCAGGAUGUGGUGAAGGAGGCUUGGGAGCGCCAUACGAAACCAAGAGACCUUGGGGGUGUAAGGGAUGUCUUAACGGGAGUGAUGGGCUCCCUGCACGAAUGGAGUGAAAAAACAGUAGGUUCUAUUAGAAAACAGAUCAAGAAAAAGAGGCGAGUGCUUGAGCAGGCGGAGAGAACUAAUGGCAGAGGAGGUAGCCAAACUUGUCUGAAGAUUAGAAAAGAGAUUGAUGGGCUGUUGGAAAAAGAGGAGAUAAGUUGGCAUCAAAGAUCUAGAGUGGGCUGGAUCCAAGCGGGCUAUAGAAAUACGGCCUUUUUUCACAGGAAGGCGUCGUGGAGGGCUAAGAAGAACAGGGUGAAGCGGCUCCAGGACGGGGCGGGGGUCAGCACUGAGAACCAGGAAGAAAUGGAUAACAUAGUCCAGGAUUUCUUUACUGAUCUGUACAACAAAGAUGACACGGUGAGGCCAAGUUUGGUCACUGAGGCCCUGGAGUGUAAUGUGUCGGAAGCGAUGAAUGACUGUCUGUGCAAAGAUUUUACGGAGGAAGAGAUAGGUGAUGCUUUAUUCCAAAUUGGACCACUGAAGGCCCUUGGUCUGGACGGUUUCCCGGCUCGGUUCUUCCAGCGCCACUGGGGGAUUUGUAAAUUUGAUGUGGUGAAUGCAGUGGCUACCUUCUUUAGUACUGCCAGCAUGCCGACGGGUGUUAAUGACACGACCAUUGUCCUAAUCCCGAAGAAAACCAACCCUGAAAAUAUCAAGGAUUUGCGGCCCAUUAGCCUAUGUAAUGUGAUAUACAAAAUUGUGUCUAAGUGCUUGGUCAACAGGCUCAGACCGAUCCUGGAUGAGAUUAUUGGCCCAUCUCAAAGUGCUUUUGUUCCGGGAAGAAUGAUCACCGAUAAUGCGCUCAUUUCCUUUGAGUGCCUCCAUGCUAUUAAGAACAGCGCGUCAAAAACUGGCAAGUUCUGCGCAUUUAAACUCGAUCUGGCAAAGGCUUACGAUAGAGUGGACUGGAGCUUUCUGAAAGAGGCUCUCCGGUGCAAGGGCUUCAAUGAGAAGUGGAUCUUUUGGGUCAUGUGCUGUGUGGCCACGGUCAGGUAUUCUGUUAAAUUUAACGGGAGCUUACUGGAUCAAUUUGUGCCGAGUAGAGGCCUGCGUCAUGGGGAUCCCCUAUCCCCGUUCCUAUUCUUGUUUGUAGCGGACGGCCUGGCCUCACUUUUGAACAGGGAGGUUAUGAAAGGGAAUGUGGAGGAGCUUAAAGUGUGUAGAAACGCCCCGGGGAUCUCCAACCUACUCUUCGCUGAUGACAACAUUCUGUUCUUCAAGGCUGAUCGGGUGCAGGCCACGAGGAUCAAAAACACCCUUAAAAGGUAUGAGGCCGGCACGGGCCAAAGUCUAAGCCCGACGAAAUGUUCCCUGCUUAUGGGCCAGAACUGCUUGGACGGGGACCGGGCAACUGUGGCCAAUAUUCUGGCGGUUUCGAACAUGGAUUUUGAUGAAACCUAUCUGGGCCUGCCGAUUCCUGAAGGGAGAAUGAAAAAUGGUAAAUUCCAAUCCAUCAGUGAUAAGGUUAGCAAACGGGUGGGGGACUGGAUAGAGAGACACUUGUCGGCUGCUGGAAAAGAUGUGUUGAUUAAGUCGGUCCUCCAAGCAAUCCCUACCUAUUCGAUGAGUGUGUUCAAGUUCUCGGCGUCCCUAUGCGAGAGUCUUAUGCAGCAGAUCAGAAACUUCUGGUGGGGAGAUGAGAAAGACACGCGGAAAGUCCAUUGGUUGGCGUGGGACAAAUUAAUUUGACCAAAGUGCAGGGGGGGAGUGGGUUUUAGGGAUUUACAACUGUUUAACCAGGCCCUGCUUGCUAGACAGGCCUGGAGGCUGUUAAAUAACCCGGAGAGUCUGUGCGCCAGGGUCCUAAAGGCCAGGUACUAUCCACAUGGAAUUCUGACAGAUACGGCUUUCAUCCAAAAUGCCUCCCCUAGUUGGCAGGGAAUUUCUCAUGGUCUGGAGUUGUUAAAAGAAGGGAUUGUCUGGAGGGUCAAUGGUGGGGAAAAGAUAAGAAUCUGGAGAGAUAAUUGGAUCCCCAGAAAUGGUCUUAAAAUGCCAAUCAUUAGGGGCCGGUCGAGACUUCGUUGGGUCUCCCAAUUGAUGAACCAGAAUAUGAAAAGUUGGGACGAGAACCUGAUUCGGGAAAUCAUGCACCCAAUAGAUGCGGAGGAUAUUCUUAGCAUCAGAAUUCCGAAUUUUGAAGGAAAUGAUGUUGUUGCCUGGCUUCCGGAGAAAUCAGGGGUGUUCACUGUGAAGAGCGCCUACAACCUUGCGACAGAGAGAAAGUAUAAUGCUCAGCCCCUUGGCUCUAGCCUGAACCCGUCGGGAGACAGAAGCUUGUGGAACUUGAUCUGGAAAUGUAAUGUGCCCCCUAAAGUCUGGGUUUUUGGUUGGAAACUGGCGAAUGGGGCUCUUGCGGUCCAGCAGAAUCGCAGCAAGCGUUUUAAGAAGGAACUCCCAUAAUGCACCAUUUGUGGGAUGGAGGAAGAAGACUACCACCAUGCUGUUAUUAGGUGUACAAAAGCUAAAGCCCCACGAGAGGUCAUGAGAAGGCACUGGUCGCUCCCGAGCGAAACCCUCCUGGGCGAUAAUGGUAGGGACUGGGUCCUUGUCCUUCUCGAUCAAUUAAAUGCGGAUAUGAGAUCAAACGUUCUGCUUCUCUGGUGGAGAUGCUGGGAACUGCGUAACGAUAUCAUCUGUGCUAAAGGGGAUAUGUCUGUCACUGACUCUGAAGGUUUCUUGCUCUCUUUCGCACGCUACCAUCAGCAGCCGCUGAGCAUUUGCUCCCCGACAGGCAAAGGGAAGCUACUGGUGGAGGGCAGAGUGAAGGGUUUGAAGCCGCAACCUGGCGUUUCGUUCUGGAAUCCUCCUCCCCCUGGUACCGUGCUGAUCCAAACCGAUGCGAGCUUCGUAAAGGAAGAUAGAACUGGGGCGUGGGGCACGACUGCUUUUACUAGUGACCGUAGGGUGUUGUUCUCGGCCUGUGGUUGGAUCCAAAGUGCAAAUAACGCAGCGGAAUCUGAAGCCAUUGCUUGCAGGGAAUGAGUGAGGCUGGUGUCCAAGCUGUGCUCUCCCGACUUUGUGCUUGAGACAGACUCCUUGGAAGUGGCGCAGGCCCUGAAGGACAAGGGCUGUUGCAGAGCUGGCCACUUUGACAUCAUUGAAGAAACUAAGAGAUUGGCCGCCCCCCUAAACAUAUCCGUUGUUAAAGUUAGUAGAUCCCAAAUUCAGGUGGCGCAUGAGUUGGCCCAGUUCGGCCGGAGGCUUAGAUCCUUUGGCACGUUACUGAAUGCCGUUCCGCCGGAUAUUGGCAAAAAAAAAACUUCGCGGGAAUUAACUCUUCUUCCGAUUGUUGGAUGGGUGAAAAAUCUCAAUUUGUAAUCGACGCUAUGCGUCAGGACUCUGUUCAGUAUUUGAUUAAUGAAGUUUUUAACCUGCAAAAAAAAAUAUAUCUAUUGUCACUGCUAGAUUUCAUCAACUCUAUCAUGAACUCCUCAAAGGUUUGUCCACUAGUAGGAUUAGCUUGAAUCACAUUCCCCACCAGCCCAGCCAUGAAAGGAUUGCCCAAAGCAAAAGACUAGGCAACCUUAGAGCAAUUCUAGCCGUUACCGAAUUUUCUGACCUGAAAAAAAUGCAUAUUCGAUCUACCGAUCUUGUUUUCUCGGUUCCAAUUUGACAUGCGCGGACCAAAUCCUGAAUACCAUUCGUAAAACCGAAUCUCUACAUCUGGCCCAUCUAGCCCAGCCCAACCCAGCUCCUUCAUCUUCCUCCUCCCACACGACAAGAGAAGGCAAGAACACUACGCAUAUGCCUGAUUAAAUCUCCAUUCAGUCUCCAAAUUCCAAAUGGUUUUCCCUCAAAUUAAAGUCUGAGAUUCAAUCCUCAUCAAUCAACGAGCCGAUUCAGGAAAACGAUUUGCCGGAUGGAGCUAUGGACCGGCGCGGUCGGGGGUGGCCGUGGACAAUGGAGGCAGCUAGGGGCAAGGUCGGGGGCGGCCAUGGACGAUGGAGGCUGCCAGGGAUGAGGGAGGCGGGCAGGGGCGAGAUACCGACCGUCCGCGGCCAGGGUCGGGGACGGGCCGGCGGCGGCGGCCACGGUCGGGGAGAGGAGGAAGACAAUGUGGGAAGGAAUAACUGCGGCCAACCGUUUUUUUCUAGAGUUGGGGUGGCCUGUUUUGGUCGCAUGGGACACCGAUGAUAUCCAAGCGUGGGGGAUGGUAUUCGGUUGAUUCAAUCCUUUUUUUUAGCGGAUUUCGCAAAUCUUCGGUAUCUAUUUAGGUCGUUUUUUGCCCAAAACCGAAAACUGACGGUUGUUUCUCGGAUCGGAGCUCUUUUCGGUAUCUGUAAAGUUGCUCUUACGUUGUAUUUCCUCCAACUUAGGUUGCAUCUGUUCGGCUCUAGCGUAGGAUAGUCUUCGACUGUUUUUAUUAAGAAGAAAAAUACUACUACUGGUGUGGAUCAAUCACAAAGUUUAUAAAUUUUAUAGGGGACGCGUGCAUAGACAAGAAGCAGAGGAAUUGCUCUUCACUUUAUUGAUCUGAUUCUCACCAUGGCGAGAUGCAACAGAGGCUUGCUCUUAUUUUAUACUUGGCUUAUCAAGAAUUUGAAUAACGUCGAAGGCUUGUCUCACAAGGGCCAUGUCGAGACCUUUGCCAUGGACCACAUUCAUAUGUUCUGAUGUUCAUUCAUUGUUUUUGGUACGACAGGCUAGCUACGCCACCUCGGCGGUACCCAACCCGCUUUCCGUCCCAGCCCUGCGUGUACACUCCGCCGAUGGACAACACCUCCAUGGCCUCCAUGCCCGCAUCACCUUCCGGCACGUCCAGGUACACUGUAAACUCCGUCGUUUCUCCGGCCUUCAUGGCACCUACGCGAACGCUUCCAGACCUCCCAUCGUCGCUGAUGUUGGUCCUUUGCUCUCUGGAUUCUAUCCUCACGAGCGACACCCCCGGGUGCACGGCUGCGAGCUGAGCCUCCAAGCCGACCGCGGAGAACAGGCGGAACGUGGCCUUGCUCAGCAGCCCUGAUACAACACCGGAGAACUUGUGGUAGAUGUCGUUGCCGGCGCCAUCAAUUGCGUUGUAUGUCCCUUUGGUUCUGGUUGCGAUGAAUUCCAUCGUCUUGGCGUUGUGGCCCGUGAACCCGAACGUGCGCACGGGGUAUUUGGGGUCUCUUAGUACGCUGGUGUCCGUUCUUUCCCACUCCUUAUCUUUCAGUAUGGACGUGUCGCCGCCAUCCGAUAGCAGGAUAAUGAAGGCUGCGCGCUCCACGUCACCCCGCUCCAUAAGGAUCUGCCAAUAAGUACAUACAUGUACAGCAACAUCAGUGUGUUAGUCAAAUCGAUAACUCUGUUUGACUUGAAAAAUCAAGCUGUAUGAAUUACCUGCUCGGCCCUCUCUAGGGGCUUGGACAGCCUUGUGCCGUAACCGGUGGUGAGUGACUUCACCGUGCUCCGAGCCUUCUCCUUGCCCUGGUCAGACAUGUCGACAAGCUCCUCUGCGUGCUUGGCGACGUCUUCAUCGAAUGGCACGACAGCGAGGCGGUCACCGGGGAGCAGAAGGUCGAUGACUAGCGAGACAGAAGCCUUCUCCUGCUCUAGCCUUUCGUUGUCAUGGAUGCUCCGGCUUACGUCGACCGCCGCGACCAUGUCAAUCGGGGCCCGCGCCGUCUGGCCUGCCCCCGGAGCCUCCAGGGUCACCCACACGGGGAAAUUGCUGUACUUUGCCGGCCCAGGGACGGACUGGAUCUUCACCGUCGUGAAGACGCUCAACUGAAGCACGGAGGCUGGGGUCGCCUGGGUUGUUCCAGUUGAGGUCAUGUGCUGGUGUAGAAUUUGUGAGAUAAUGUACGCGCGGUGCAAUUAAGUACGAAGCAAUUCUUUCUUGAAUCCAGCAAGAUAUAUUGAUUAGAAUUCAAAAAUAAAUCCGGAAGAAUUAAAAGCGUUGGAUGUGAAGAGUUUCAUGCACAAAAUCAGUUCAUCGGAAAGCUCAAACCGAUGAGAAAAACAAUUCCCUUAUACUUGGACAGCAUGGAUGCAUGCGAGGAGGAUCACCUGUGAGUCCAUUUCUGCUCCCGACAAGCAACCGCGGCGUACCUAAACACUCUUGUGCAUUGUAAUAUUACUUCACCGAGCUCGCUAGAUCGAUGUAUGUAUUGAUCUUAUUGGGUCCUGCUAGCUUAUUCUUGAUGCUCCAAUUCGAACCUCACCAUGCGUCUGUUUAUAUACUUGGAGAACCUUGUGGCGAGGACGUACGGACGGAAUUGAAGGACCGAUGAUGAUCCGCGUGUAUAGGCGCGUUACGUCCCGGCUAAUCACACUGACAUGACAUAUCGUUUGUUGGUACUACCUCCAUGUGAUGUACGUUUCCUUUCCCAGCUCACGGUCACAGUUAUUAACACUUCUCUGCGUUGUUGAAUGAUCUAAGGGUUAAUACGUACGCCUUGAUUAGUUCCUCAGUCGACAGCUUUGUUUCGAGAAAAGAACAAAAGAGGACGUGAUACACGAACGCGCAAGGCGCUAGAAGAGCAAACGACGUGCACGCGUACCAACAAAUAAUGCCCCGUGCAUAUCAAAUUAAUUCGUUGUUCAGUUCUAGCCAGCAAAGCGGUGACGUGUGCAUCCUCCAAAGACUUAACGUGAAACACGGCCGGAGAAGAGACAAUUGUUAGAGUGAUCUCUACCCGAGUGGGCCCAACGGCCCACCGGGCCCUUAGAUCCACAGCGCCCUAAUCGGGGACGCCCAACCCAUUAUGGUUGGCAGGGCCCUGUUACACUGUUCAAUAUAAAGAGGUGGGGGCGGCGGCACGCAACACAAGGUUCGUCGCUGUGCCGCACACCCCACCGAACAACCGCCUACCGAUCUAGAGUUCCGCACAAGAGUAACGGGAAGCUCCACCUCCCGCCGCCGUUUUUUCUUUUUUUCUAACAGAGGCAUUAAUUUUUGCUGUAUAUAUUCAGUUUUGCUGUUUUUUGGUAUAAUUUUUAUCCUAUUCAAACUGAACCAACGAGAUGUUUGUUUUAGGAAAUAGAAAAGUGCAAAAUAAUGCUUCUGAAAAGUAUAAAGUUAUAAUUUUUGUUCAUAGUUUCCGCUGCAAAUAGUUUAAAAGUGUUGUUUCAAUAUGCAAAGAACAUGAUUAAAAGUGUUUUAUGUUAAUUGUGAUCCUGUUAUUUUUUCUUGACCAACGUCAUUAAUAGCAUGAUCAUGAUUAAUGGUUAAAGUGUGCAUUUAAUUCUAUUUUUUGCCCAACGGUGAUAUAGAUUAAAUUGCACAAACAGAAAUUCUUCCUCCAUUAGAGUUCUCAGAAAUAGAGCAAUGCGUAGAUUGCAUCAAAGGAAAGUGUGUAAAACAAAUAAAAAAGGGUGCAAUACGUAGCACCAGCACACUCGAAAUUAUUCACACUAUCAUUUGUGGACCAUUUCCUGUGAAAAGUGUGGAUGGUUAUGAUUUGUUCAUAACAUUCACAGACGACUACUCCCGUUAUGGUUACAUUUAUCCAAUAAAAGAAAGGUCAGAAGCAUUGGAUAAAUUUAAAAUAUUCAAGGCUGAAGUUGAAAAUCAGCAUGAUAAAAAGAUAAAGAUAGUAAGACCCGACCGUGAGGGGGGGGGGGGUACUACGGUGGGCACACCCCAUACGGCCAAGUCCCUGGGCCUUUUGCAAGGUUCCUACAGGAGACUAGAAUAAUUGCUCAGUAUUCAAUGCCGGGCGAGCCUCAGCAAAAUGGAGUAGCUGAAAGGCGUAACCGUACCCUUAUGGAUAUGGUGCGCAGUAUGAUGAGUUAUUCCACAUUACCAUUGGGAUUGUGGAUGGAGGCAUUAAAAACCGCCAUUCACAUUCUCAAUAGAGUGCCAAGCAAGUCGGUGCCCAAAACACCGUACGAGCUGUGGACAGGAAUAGUGCCCUCUCUACAACACCUGCGGGUGUGGGGGAGCCCAGCUGAGGCCAAAAUGUUUAACCCAAAUAUUGCAAAGUUGGAUACCAAGACAGUAAGUUGCCAUUUCAUUGGCUACCCUGAAAGAUCAAAAGGUUUUCGUUUCUACUGUCCAGACAAAUACACAAAGUUUGUGGAAACGAGACACACCGUCUUCUUAGAGGACGAAAUGACGAGGGGGAGCACGGUAGCUCGGAAAGUUGAUCUUGAGGAGAAGAGGGUGCAUGCACCUAAUCCGAUGACUCAAGAGCCAUUCUUUUCACUACCUGUUGUUGCCGCACCGACAAUCCCUGAGAUCGUGGUGCCGACACCUGUUGUGACUCCACACAUGGCAACAAUGAGUGAAGGUCCGGAACCUGUCCUUUAGGAGCCGACUCAACCCAUUGUUGCACAUGAAAGGGAGCUGCAGCAGCCUGAACAUGCGCCACAUGUAGAGACACAGAACAUGCCAGAAAAUGAGGCCCCUAUAAGGUCUCAAAGAGUUAAAAAGUCAGCCAUUCCAAAAGAUUAUAAAGUUUAUAAUACAGAAAGAGUUCAUAUGGAGAAUGAUCCCACUUCAUAUGAAGAAGCCAUGAGUGGUUCUCACUCAUCGAAGUGGCUGGAGGCCAUGGAAGAUGAGAUGAGAUUGAUGAGUUCUAACGAAGUUUGGGACUUAGAGGAAAUUUCUAAAGAAGCCAAAACGGUAGGCUGUAAAUGGGUCUACAAAACCAAAUAUGACUCUAAAGGGAAUAUAGAAAAAUACAAAGCAUGACUCGUGGCAAAAGGAUUUACACAAAGAGAAGAAAUAGAUUACAAUGAGACAUUUUCACCAGUCUCAUGCAAAAAUUCCUUCAGAAUAAUAAUGGCACUAGUGACGCAUUUUGAUUAGAGUUACAUCAGAUGGAUGUAAAGACGACAUUUCUAAAUGGGGAUUUAGAAGAAAAUGUUUACAUGAAACAACCCAAGGGUUUUAUCAUGAAAGACAAGAAACACAUGGGAUGCCGCAUAAAGAAAUCCAUUUAUGAAUUAAAGCAAGCCUUUAGACAGUGGUAUCUAAAGUUUGAUGAGACCCUUAAGAAAUUUGGGUUUAAAGAAAAUGUUAAGGACAACUGCGUUUAUGCAAAAUUUAAAAGUGGAAAAUAUAUUUUCCUAAUUCUGUAUGUGGAUAAUAUCCUGCUUGCUAGCAGCGAUGUCAGUCUACUACUAGAAACAAAAAAGUUUUUGUCCUCAAAUUUUGAUAUGAAAGAUCUUGGUGAAGCAUCAUAUGUCUUGGGCAUAGAAAUUCACCGAGAUAGAAAAAAAUAGGGUUCUAAGACUAUCGCAAAAGGCAUAUUUAGAAAAGAUUCUAAAGAAUUACAAUAUGCAUGCGAGCAAUGCCACACCUGCUCCUAUAGUCAAGGGCGACAGUUUCGGGAAAUUUCAAUGUCCCAAAAGUCAAUAUGAGAUCGAUCAAAUGAAAGCGGUUCCAUAUGCUUCGACAGUUGGAAGCCUACAGUAUGCACAAGUGUGCACUCGCCCUGACUUAGCUUUUAUCACUAGGGUACUCGGUAGAUAUCAAGAAAAUCCAGGCAUAGAGCACCGGAAAAUGGUAAAGAAAGCAUUUCGUUAUGCGCAAGACACAAAAGGCCUCAUGCUAACAUAUAGAAGAUCUGAUUCCCUAGAGAUAAGAGGGUAUUCAGAUGCAGAUUUUGCGGGAGAUAAAGAUGUUAGGAAAUCCACGUCAGGAUAUGUAUUCACUCUCGCAGGCGGGGUUAUUUCGUGGAGAAGCUCCAAACAGUCAAUAGUUGCAUCAUCCACGAUGUAUGCAGAAUUUAUAACAUGUUAUGAGGCAACGGGGCAUGCGAUAUGGUUAAAGAAAUUUAUAUCCGACUUGAAAGUAGUGGAUUGUAUCGACAAACCACUAAAGAUGUACUGCGACAAUCAGCCCGCAGUGUUUUAUACUCACAACAACAAGUCGAGUAAUGCUACCAAACCAAUAGAGAUAAAGUAUUAUGUUGUGAAAGAUAAAAUUCAGGAUCACACAAUAAGUCUCGAGCAUAUAAAGACAAAGGAUAUGCUUGCGGAUCCGCUUACGAAAGGCCUACCACCCAGUGUGUUCAAGGAACACUUAGCCGGCUUGGGUUUAAGGGAAAGUUUAUGAUUUCUGGAUAAAGAAUGGCCUGAAAAGAACAUAAUUUUUUUCAACAUGGAAAGGUAUGUCAUAACUGUCUGAUUCUAUCGGCAAUUGAGCUGAGACGAUGAAACAUGCUCUACGUACUAAUCGGUGGUGAAAUGAGUAAAGUAAAAAGUAUACGGUCAAAAUAAAAGUUGAGAUCAAGGGGGAGAAUGUUAGAGUGAUCUCCACCCGUAUGGGCCCAACGGCCCAACAAGAGUAGGUGGCUUCGGUGAAGGAAACAAACCUAUUCUCUGUGCUCUGUUCGGGAAGAUCUAUUGGCGGCAACAUGGGGCAUAAAAACGUCGGGCUGGCUGCUCUUGACAUAAUGAGAUGCUCGAAUGCCCUCUUGAAAAGGGAAGAAGGAGCCGUGGGAUAUCUUAGAUAAAACGCUUUCGUUCCCCAUUUAGUACUGAACUAAAGCUUAUGCAUUGGGCUAGAGAGUGAAGAGAAGUUCUCGCUGUCUAUCGUACCAGUUGCCUUGCUUAUCUUGGCUUCUCUAAAGACAAAGACUCUGGUUGAAUCUUUCGGGAAAGUCAAAGGCCGAAGAUUGGAGUUGGAAAAGCGGAAGCUAAGGGCAAAAUAAGAAGUGAAUAAGAGGAUGUGUCUCACCGAUCUUCAGAGCCUCUAUAGACGCCGGUCUAGUGUGAUUCCAGACACGUAUUUCCGGCGUAUGUAGAGUAGUGUAGUUUUGCUAGUAAAUCUAGUUGUUAGCGAGGAAAGAUAGAUAAAAGAUGGUUUCAAUUCUCCAUCAAUAACAUCCAGCUCCAAAUGACCGGCCCCUUAGAUCCACAGCGCCCUGAUUGGGGGCGCCCAACCCAUUAUGGUUGGCGGGCCCCUGUUACACUGCACAAUAUAAAGAGGUGGGGGCCGGCGGCACGCAACACAAGGUUCAUCGCUGUGCCGCACACCCCACCGAACAACCCCCUACCGAUCUAGGGUUCCGCGCAGGAGUAACUGGAAGCUCCGCCUCCCGCUGCCGCUGUCGAUCCCCGUCGCCGUCGCUCCCUCGCCUUUGACCAUGUCGUCCGCGCCGUCGGGAUCUUCUAGCCAAGGCGAUGGUACUGCUCUCCCUCUCUUCUCUCCCUUUUAUCCCAUACCCAAAACGAAAUCCAUUCACAGAAAUAGGUUCCUAUUUGUACCGAUCUACACCUAGAGAUAUCUAGGAUUUAACAACAAUUAACCUAUGAUGGAUGGAAUAUCAACUUACAUAUAGCCAUGCUUUUGCCUUCCAUUUGGUGCACGCCAGAAUUGUACGUAUUCGAUCGUGGCCUCGUGUGGUGUUCAUUUCCGUUGCUGCACCGGUGCCUCAGCCUAUGUCAAAUGUCAAAGUAAUACUCCUCCGUCUCAUAUCAAAUGACGAAAUAUUACAUGUAUCUAGACGUUUUUUUUAGUAUAGAUACGUCUAUAUUUGGACAAAUUUGAGUCACUUAUUAUGAGAUGGAGGAAAGAGUUUAAGAACAAAAAAUUAACCAAGUGUGAGCUCGGUCUGAGAGAUUGAUGACCAGUUCGGACCGAGACAACAAAUUCAGUGGCCUAGAUGCAUUUUAUUCGAUACACGCUCUGAUGCACUAUUACUUUUAGUUUAUAGAAUACUCCCUCCGUCCGGUUAUACCAGGCGUGAAUAGUGUUUUCGCUAGUGCCAAUGAAAGCUGCUACUCUUUUAUUGAUUGGACCACUUUUGCAUGUAUGUCUUUUUGAUUGGAUGACUCCACCAAACAUCUGAUAUUUAUGAACUACUAGCAAAAUGAAUCACGCUUCGUAAAAACGGACGGAGGGAGUACUUCCACUAUUACUUGAACCAAGCAGAUUGGGCCUGCAAUAAUGCCGCAGUGGCAUUGAGCUUCCAGAUUGGAUGGCCAUUUGAUGGGCUUUAAUCACCGCGGAAAAGAAGACUGGGUAUUAUGUUAGUUCUUGUUCCUUCCCGUAUGUUAUUGGAACUUGCUUGUUUUGUCGUCAGCCGCCUCUAUCGAUGCGGUAAAAGCAACAAGUAAAACUGUGGCUUGCAAGUUAGCAGGUGGUUUCGUUCUUUCCGGUUAAAAACAAUAUGGUGAUUCAGUACUCUUCCUCUUUCGAUUUCCAAAAAACAUACUUUUAGUCGUAACGGUGGCAAGACACAGAUAAGAAGAUCAUUAUUAGUCCAAAUAGCAUCACUGUAAAUACGAAGUAUAAUUUUUUUUAAGGGCAUAGCAAUAGCGAUCUACGGAGCACUUACAUAGAGUACUACUUCCUCCGUCCCAUAUCAAGUGACUCAAAUUUGCCCAAAUAUGAAUGUAUCUAUAUCCAAAAAGUGUCUAGAUAUAUACAUAUAAUAUUUCUUCACUUAAUAUGAGACGAAUGGAGUACUAUUUUUCUCACUGUUUUUGAAGAUCGCUGCCCUAUUUUUAAACCAUGAUUAUCAUCUCUGUUUUUUUGGCCUCUAAGAAUAUUUUUCUCACAAAUUAUUUCUUUAGUUCCUUUUAUUUUCAAUGUUACAUUUGUGGCAUCAAAAUUCUAGAAUUACGAAUUUGGAAUUCUUGCUCUCAACCUCUAAAAUAAAUAAAUAAAAUAAUAAAGGCCGAGCCUGAAAGUACAAGACAAUUCUUUGUCAUCUAGAGAAAAUAACUCCUUAGCACCCAGUUACAUUUUACCACUGGCCAGUUUGAUGUGUAACUUGCGAUGAUGUUUUGCAGAAGGAACAUAGGUUGAAGCAAUCUUAACACUAGAUGAUAACGUGUUAACUGAAUCCAUUAUUUUAGAAAGGUCAUCAUGCACAUCUGAAAUGAACUAUUUCAGUUGAAUAUAAUGCAGAACAUAAGAAGAAAUCAAGAAUGUAAACAGAGUGAUGCAGUGAUGCUCGUAGUUUUGGAAAUCGAUAUGAAAAUUAUUCUCUUAUUUAAAAAACAAUAAGAAGAAUAUAGGCAAGCCCCAAUGAACCUGAACAAGAAUCUAGGUUUUUUCUCAGGUGUUCAUCACCGAGCAUUUUGAUGGUAACUAUAUCUCUGGUUAUCAGUACUCUCUCCGUCCUUAAAUGUAAAAAGUCAUAACUUUGUCCUAAGUCAAAUUUUUUUUGAAAUUUGACGAAGUUUACAAAAAAAUGUACCAACAUGGCAACAUCUACGACUUCAAAUUAGUUUUAUUAGAUCCAUCAUGAUAUAUUUUUCAUGCUAUACUUAUUUGAUAUUCUAGAUGUUGAUAUCUUUUUCUAUAAACUUGGUCAAGUUUGACUUAAGACAAAAUGAGGAAUUCUUACAUUUAAGAUCGGAGAGGGGUAUCAAUACAGCCUGUCCUUCACCUCUCAAUCCUAUGACCAUAUUCCAGUUUCAGUUGUUGGUUUAUUGGGACGAAGGUCGCUUUCACUCUUGAUUGCUGCCUCUGCAGUCGUUGUGUCCUCAUUCGUGGAGCCAACAGGAACGAUUAUCACAUUGACAUGUUGGAGGCUUGAAAGAUGCCCAAGACCGAAAUAGAAAUCAGCACCGUCAGAACAUGCCUCCGGUAACUUGAAAGUAAGGUGAUAUGUUUGUAACUUCUGCAUAGCUCCUGGUGCAAACACUAGCCACAUCCCAGAAAUAAAACAUAUGAGACUGAAAUCUUUUAAAGAUUGGAAUCCUUGGCUGCCGAUGACUAUCUUUCCAUUUGGCGCAUGCCCCGUAAAGACAAGGCGGAGAUAGAGCAGAGUGGACAGUUCUUUCAGUAUGUCAAUAUCAAUUUCUGCCAUUCUUGAGAUGUAUAGUUCCAGGUGUUUCAGACUGGCAAACGUGCUCAUCCACUUUGGCACCAUCGAAACAGGCUUCGUAAUGGCAAACUUUCGGAGAUGUUGAAGUGCAGAGCAUGAAACCAUUAAUGAAUCUAGAAUGAAACGUUCAUUACCUUUGUAACCAAGUGAGAGAUCUUGAAGGUUUUGUCUGCCUAAUUCGCAAAGAGAACAUACCAAAGCUUCCCUAAAUUGCCCCCCAUAACUUCCCAUCUCAAUAGGUUCUUCGACAGUUAUUACAAGCUCUCUCAGUUUUGCAAGACAUCUAAGCUCUUGAACCAACCUUAUCGAGUAGCUUGGGAUGACAACAUGUGACAGUUCUUCCAAACAUUGCAUAUUUCCAAUCAUUUCUGGUAGCUUCGUUACAACACUUACAUUCAGACAAACUAGCUUUUGCAAUCGAAUAGUUGCAUCGGGAAGUGCUCGUAUAGGACACAGUCGUACAUCCACUAUCUCUAACUGUUCCAAUUUCCCUAUUCUUUCAGGAAGCUCACUUAUAAAUCUGGAGUAAAGCACUAGGUACCUCAACUGAAGCAUACUCCCUAUACAUUCAAUAUGGUUGUUCUUCAGCCAAUCACAAUAAGACAAGUCCAAAACACGCAAAGCGUGGAAGUUCACAAUAUUUGGUACUUCCUUUGUAAACCCAAAGAUACUAACUGAACGAAGAGAAGAUUGUUUUGUUAAGGCUGUUUGUGUUACUGCAUCUUCUGAAUUAUUGCACUGAAGGGACAAUCGGCGAAUCCUUUUUGGCAAAGAGAAAGGCUUCUGUCCAUCUAUUAUGGUAACAAAAUUAGCUUCGGUUGACAUAGAUAUUAGAAUAUUGAGCACCAUGUCAUGGACUUGACAAUAUUGUACACUGCCAUCAUACCCCAUACUCACUGGUAAGAUCAUACUUCUAUUAAUAAGAUCAUUAAGGUAACUCUGAGCUACUUGGUCCAAUCUUUUACCCCGUUCUUCAGCAAUAAAUCCUUCAGAUAUCCAUCUCCUUUUCAAAUCUUUGGUCUUUAUCUUAUAAUCCUCUGGAUAUAUACUUAAAUAUAACAAACAGGUCUUCAAAUGAUGAGGUAGAUCAUAGAAGCUAAGCAAUAAUAUCUCUCUCAUACCUUGUAAAGUGUUACUGUUGUCAAGUGCUGAGCCAAUUGAGUUUAGCACCAACUCCCACUCAUCCUUUGUGCUGGGUUUCGUAGCCAACAAACCAGCAAUAUUAAGUAUGGCCAAUGGCAAACCGCCACAUUUUCUUAAAAUUGCAUUGGAGACUUCUUCCAAAUGUGAGGGACAACUGUGCUCAGUAUGAAAAAUUCUUUUCAAAAACAACCUUCUGGAGUCAUCCUCACGCAAUGGUUUGAUGCGAUAAAUAUGGCCUUCAACUCCAAAGCUAGAGCAGCAAGUUACGGCUACGUCAACAACACGUGUAGUAGUAAUUAUUCUGCUACAUGAAUUGUUGUAAGGCAACACACACUUCAAUAUCUCCCAAGCUGAUAUGCUCCAGAUAUCAUCAAUUACAAUUAAGUACCUAUUGGAUGAUAUCAAUAUUAUAAGUAUGUUUAAAAAAUCAUAACACUAAUUUACUAUAGAAAAAAUUAACUUGAAGAAAUUAUUGCGUCUGUAAAACGCACCUCUUGUCGUGCAGAAAUUCUCUAAUCAUGUUGAUGAGUUGCCGCUCAUGAUCCCACAUGUUACCAGGAGUACCAAGUUCAGAGAGUAUAUCCAAAAGAAUCCGCUUCACAUUAGGCCUUUGAGAUACAAACACGAAAGCAGCGCAAUCAAAUUGACCUUUGAUUUUCUGAUACACUUGGUAGGUCAGAGUAGUUUUGCCCAAACCUCCAAACCCCACGAUGGACACCACUUUUAGCUGUUGCCAAGACCCACCAUCUGCCUCCGCCUCAAUUAGCAACUUGAUUAUUUUGUCUCUCUCACCAUCGAUACCCACAAUUCCUCCUACUUCAGCAUAGAUUGCAGGCAGACGAGGGUCCACGGCAACAUCACUAGCCAUGGAGAUCGACUCAUCAAGCUUGUACCUUUUUCUGCGAUCGCUCACCUCGACAACUUGACUUUUCAGUUCUGCAAUCUCUUCUGCAAUAUUACACCUCGAAAAAAGUUCCUUCAGCUUCCUGAUAUUGUUGAUGACAAACGCCUUGAUGCCUGUUGGCUCAUCUGGAUUUUCUUCAUCUUGGACCAUGAAAUCAUCAAUGGUGUCCUCGAUGUCGUAAGCUAGCUCCCGCACCUCCUUCAUCCAAGCCUUCACUUGCAAAUCAGGAUCAUUCUGCAUCGCAUACUUCUGUAUUACCGCUUUCAUGCUGCUCAGCUCAUUUCGCAGGAAGAACAAAUCCUUCUCGAUCCUUCUGUUCUUCGCGUACUCUCUCUCCAACAUAGUGGAGAGCUUUCUGAGGAGCGAGUCCAUCGAUCCUGUGAAAGCACUCACCAGCGCACUGGCCAUGAUUCACCUUUUUCGUAGGACCAAGAGCAAUACCAAGUAGUAAGAUGAUGAACAAGAAAGAGAGGUGUGAACUUUAGCACAAAAAGAAAGAAGAGAACUGGGCUAACCUGAAGGACGAGACUUGGUAACUCUUGCUAGAUAUUUGUCUACUUUCUGACUAAAAAUUUCCCAAGGUUCGAUUUAUUGGAUGACUUUUUUAUUAUGUUCUAUUUUAUUGUUCUGCAUUCCCAACUACUAACCCACUUUGAAAAAGAAAUUAGUAUUUGUCGCAACAGUAUUAGUUUAUAAAAUUAGUUGGAAGAGUGUGUCCUGGAACCAUAGUCUCACACGUCUCUUGAAUGUGUGGUUCCUGGUUGCUACGAAUGUGUGGUCUGAUAUAUGUCUUAUAAUUGAUGUUGAUGCAGAUUGCGGUUUUCAAGUACACAUGUGUGGCAACUGGAAGCCAAUGUCAAAGUAAGCUGACGACCAGCAAAGAGAGAUGUGAAAAUGUGGAGCUAGUGGAAAGAAUACUGUGGAAACCCGAUCUUAUAGCCAAGUCAAGUCUUCCUGUGCUAUUUUUUAAGCAUAUUGCCUUUUUGUAUUUAGCCUACGUUUUCAGAAUACCUGAGAACAGAAAUAAGCAGUUACUGACUUCCCAGAACGCGAUCCGAACAUCUCGCUGCGAAGUAGAUAUAUGAAUGGUUGCUAUGUAAGAAUAUUUAUGUGGCCAAUGUAAAUUAUAGUCUGAUUCUAAUUAAAAAAAUUAGUGUGAUGGAUGCUAAUAUAAAUGAUUAGAAUUAUGGGUUUUAAUUCCCUCUUUUCUCGCUCUGUUUAAUCUUCAAUUACAUGGUGUACGUGUGUUAAAAGGAAGUAGCACUUUGGUAGUCAAAUGAAAGCAUCAGCAUGCAGUACGUAGUUGACAUCAGUACGUGCAUGCAUUUGAUCGAUUAGCACGUGCGGCUGCUACUCGCGUGAGACGCCUCCUCGCCGGAACGGUUCAGAGGACGCGAUUGACUGAAGUGAUGCGUCUGCUCGUGUUAACGCGUGCGUUUUCGCCAAGCAACGCGUCCGCAUAAUUACGUAAAGCCAUGGCCUUUCCAGGCCUAUAAAAGGAGCAGUACAUGCAUGUGUUUCGGUACACUAAAUCAAUCAAUGGGUCACACAUACACAGAAAGGCUGUUCUUCAUCCAUCCGAGGAACUUGUGAAGAGAAAAGGCAGAGGCAAGAAGAACGUACGCACGACGAUGGCGUUAAUCUCGCAAGGACUCGCAAUGGAGCAAGGUACACUCGGAUCAUCAUUGUUAAAAUCUCUAGGAUGUUUCUGUUGAAUCAUACAGUAUUGCAAAGAUCCGUAAAUAAAAGUCUAUUCCGCUUACAAUUGGUAUCAGAGCAUGGUUGAUGCAACACUUUUGAUUCACAUUAUAGUUGAGAUUUUUGAUCCGCUCUUCCGUCUCUCUCUCUGUUCAAGACUUGUUGCCAUAUAUUGGAUUGAUCUUUGCACUCGUGCUUUUUAUUGGAAAAUACAUAGAAGGGUUCCUGACCCAUUAUACGUGUAUAUGUUUGUUGCUGACCCAUUACAAAAGGAAGCAAACUAAUAUGAGCAAUCUCUCUUUUUUAAUAAAAAUAAAUUAAUAUUACAACAAUGGGGAUAAGCAUAUAAUGCAAUAUAACAGAACAAUUUAUGAAAUGAAAUCUGAAUAUAAACUAAUCUUACAUUUGGUUAGUUUCCAUGAUACUACGCAGUAUUCAACAGAACAAUACAAGAGAACCAACUUCAAAAGACAGCCAACCUAUAGCAUGCCUCCUAGAAAGCUCUCUCCUACACACAAAUAAAAAAACAUCAAGGAGUUAGUGAGAUUAUCUGCAAGGGGCAACACCAAAACUUGAAGCCAAACAUGUCUAGAUACAAGACAAACUAAGAGAUAAGUGUAAGGAUCAUGGUCAUAAUGGAUAUGUGAGCAAUGGAAGGUGUUAUAAACCAAGCCUUGGUCAAUGUCCAUUUUUAGAAAAAUACUAGACUUACACACUCUAACAGAAUUAACCUUGUUCAGUGUCUGGAUCAAAGCUUAAAUCCUCGUCUAGAGAAUGAUCACAAAAGUUAACAAUUGUCUAUUCCCGUGUCGUUAAGAAUUGAGGGUGAUUUCUGAAAGCACAACUCAUGAAGUUAAUUUCGCAGUAGAAAAUAAAACACUGCAGCUAGCACUCAAAAUAAACUAAGUAGAGGCAGUGUCAUUGGACCUGGCAGCCAAAAACUUGCUAAUCACAUUGUUAGAGGCAACGAGUCUGGGCCAGAUCCACAUCAUAACAUCUACACCAAAACUGUAUCUGCACCAAUCAAUCUGAAGCCUGGAAACUACUACAACUAGCCUACAAAAUGUUCUAUCACAAAGACGCUUAGUAGCUACAACCACAACCUAACGUUGGCUCUUUGUUUCUCAAACCUGAAUCGAACCCCAUCCAUCGCAAAUGGUCACCGUGAGAGUACAGCAAGCAAAACUCAACAGACGCGCACGAGCAUAGUCCGCCAUUGACCAGAUAUGGGGGAAAUCGAAGAGCAAGCGGCCGCCUCUGCUGCCUUCGCCUCGACACAUCCGCUCCAGAAAAAUAAGCGAGAAAGAAAUCAGCCGUGUGAUUAAGCGAACCAAAGCAGCCGUGGGUGUGACGUGGCCAGACGAACUCACCGCGCGGACCAGACAAACUUCGCCGCCAACGAGCACAAAUGCAGAAACCACCUGACACCUGACCUCUCCCCUAUCCGCCAGAGUAAGCAAAAAUUCAGCAAGGAAACACAAAUCGCUAUUGAAGAAGACCAGAAUAAGGGAGGAGGAUCUCACCGGACGGGGAAGAGAAAAAGCCUCCGCCGACGACGAGGAAAAGUCGCCAUAAUGGGGGUCGGAGCAGACGCGCGCCCGACGGCCGCGGCCUCGGCGGCGACCUUGCGGGGGGCGCCUCUAGGUUCUCCCGGAAGCGCUAACCGCUUCGAGGGCCGCUCCAGCGCGCCCCGCUCGCCGCGCCGUCGCCAUCGAGGUUGAGCAGCCAUGAGGACGCCGACCCCGCGAGGGCCUUACGGAGGACGGAGGACGGGGGACACCAGAAAAUGAAGGGGAAUCCCAACGGACGAGCAGAAUCGCCUCCUCCCCUUCCCCCGCGUCCUCAUCCUCUCUGCUCCGAGGUCUGUCUGAGUGUCGACUGAAGGAAGCCGAGUGCGCAGAGCCGCAGAGGCAAAGAACAAGAGGAGGCCAAGAAAAAGCACGAAUCUUCCAGCGUUGAUCGGACGGUUAUGAGGUCGCCUGUUUUUUUUUAAAAAAAGCAGGCGACUGUGCUGUAGCAAAACGGUAAUUUAUUAACUUUCUAAAUCUUGUUGACAAUCAGUCCGCAGACUGCGAGACAAAAACUCUGUGGGUUUAGUUCGAUGAAGAAAUACAUCACUAUAAUAUUAUCAUGAUAAAUACUCUCUCUAUUCUAAAUUUGUGUUGUUCUUUUAGUUCCUCAGCACCGUUGUGCGCGAUGGAGAUCGGGGCAUGAGGCGGCUGCUCGCAACGGGGAGGCGGUGCUGUGGCGGCCCUACACGCGUGCGCAUGCUCUGUCCUGCGGGUGUGCUCUGUCCGACGCAGGGAAGUGCACUGCGGCGUGGAGGCCGCGUGGUGUGCAGUGAGGUUACCGCCGACGGCAGUGUUGUGGGCCUGUUCAUGGCUUGGUGGGCCACGGCCAUGCUACCCUUUUCCAGCGUCGGUGUGGCCAGAUCCAGUGCAUGCGGCGGGUGCGGACUUCGCCGGCGCUUGCUUUGGUGCGUGUCCGUGGUGGGAUUGGUGGCAGCGGGUGAAAACCUAGCAUUGACGCGGUCGGUGUCGGAGACGACGACGUCAUUGGACGUCGCUUCCUUCUUGAAGCUGCCGUUGUGCCGUUCUGCCACAUCCCACCCUUCGCAAACGAGGAGUUUCUGAACGAAAGCUUUGAUCCGAUUUUCGAGUCAGGUAACGGCGACGUCCUCGGACGCCGUGUCCUCCGUGUAGGCGUUGCCUUUGGAGACAUCAUUUGGCGGCGGAGUUUGCGUGCUAGGUGUGGUCCUGGCCAGGGAGGGCAACUUCGUGUUGCGCGGUCUUGCCGAUGCACGAGUUGCUUCUAUCGGGGCAACCUCUUCUGGAUCCAGUCGUCAAAGAAGCCCCACUCUGCCUACCUUCUUCUGGCGCAAGGAGUCGUUUCCUGUUCGGCGUCGCUAGAGUGGAGGAGGUCUUCGUCUUUGUGGUAGCGGCUUGUUUAUUCGACUCCUCUGUAUGCUUUUUGUCAUGUUUUUCGCACGGCUUUUGUUGGAUGGAGGGAGUAUGUGCAAUCAAAACGACUUUUGUUUCCUCGUGGGAAUUUUUCAUGCACCUGCGGGCAGUGCAUUUGUACCACUGGGUGUACUACACGACCCAAGGGGUCUUGCAUGGUGCGUCACCUGUGCGCCAUCACGAAAUUGCGAGACAUGGGUUGUGCACCGUGCCACCACCGGUGUAGUCGUCGGAGCGCGGCCGGUGCAUUUGCGAAUCCGGCGUCGCUCUUUGCCGACGGCGAAAUUGAGCUAGUGCGCCUCCUUCCUCCUCUUGUGAGCCGAAUGUGCAUCGCGCACCCCAUUAAAGAGCGGCAGUUGAAGAAUAAUCAUUCUGCAACCAGUUUCAGAAUAUAACUGCUCAUUAUAUAAUCAUAGAUGCGAAAAACAUAAUUGUACUCCUUCCGUCCAACAAAGGAUAUCUCAACUUUGACUAAAUUUGAAUGCAUCUAUACACUAAUUCAUGUUUAGGUACAUACAAAUUUUGACAAACUUGAGACAUCUUUUGUUAGACAGACGGAGUAACUUUAUAAGGGUUAAUGUGAUAUAUGCCACCGCAAUUAUCAUCUUUUAUAACAAUGCCACUGCAAAUCUGCAGAUUUUUUGGAAAAUGCCACCAUAGUGGACUGAAAGAGCUACUGCAGUGAAAUUUUUCAAAUGAUGAGAAUUGCAGUGGCAUUUUUCAAAUUCGUCACAAUUGAAGCAGCUCAAAUUAACCCAUUAUAUAGACGCUGAUAUACAUUCGUUUACUUGUCUUUGUGUUUCCUUGGCAAUACUUGGUCAUUUCGCUAGUUCUUUUUUUUCUCCACUUCUUCUACACGCCGAACUGCUUCUACGACUUUCCAACUGAAGCAAGACUGAUGUGACACGCCGUGGCACCCGGAAUAUAUAGUGCCAAACAGGGUGAGACGGCGGUGAGCCUAUCAGUCAAUGGGCGCGUGCCCCCACGCGUGGCGGCACAAUCUGCAACACCGCGGCCGCAUGUGGGCCGCCUCCCCGGCCUUCCGCAGGCAGCUAUUCCUGCUCCGCUCUCUCGCGCCCUCCUGCACCUGCGUAAGCGGCGGCCGCGCGUCCUCGAGCUCUCUCCGGGUCCACGCGAUGCAUGCGGCGGCAGCGGGGGCGGUGUACGAGGCGGACGCGGAGUCGGUGGUCCGGCGGAUCACGCCGCCGCUCGACCGCGCCCGGCAUAAAGGGCAGGCAGGUGAGCAAGCCGCUCGAUCUUCCGAUUUCUUGUGCGCUCUAGUUUUGGUCGAUGAAUUGGGCGGUACGAGGCUCAGGAUUGCGCAGUCUGUGUUCGAUGGAAUGCCCGAGUGGGGAAUGCUGUUGGAUGUUAUGGUAGGUUUAAGAACGAGGGGGCAUUCCUUAACUUGUGAGUGUAAAUUUAGGCGCGAAAGGUAAAAUUGCGCGGAUGGAAUAUUAAGUCAAAUUGGACGACGAGCUCUCGGCCUGUGGCCUUGGUGGACUGCUGGGAACACUACGAGGCAUAUCGCUAGGACCUGAUGCAUCAUGGGAGGGACUUGGUGUUUUUGCACGUUUAAUUGGGGCACACCACAAGUUUGGAUGCUCAUUUUGGGAGGUGUAUGCUGCCGUGGUGUUGGUGUGGCGGACGUGGGAAACUUUUAGAGCCUAAACAAGUCGCAAGUCUCACUAGUUACUACGCUGUCUAUGGCUAAUAAGCACCAUCGUAUAUAACGGCCUUUUUGAUACGAAUAAGAAAAACAAAGGAGUUUGAUAGCAUUGCCUGCAUGUGCGGAUUGGAAAACAUAGAGAAACUAUUACAUGAGUAAGAUUCGUAAAAAAAAGAAUCCAAGUAAGACAUGCUAAGCUUUUCUUUUAUCCAGUGCGUGGGAAUACAAAAGAUAGAGCUUUGCUUGAUGGUAAAUUUCUUUCUUUUUAUUUGAACGUCACACAAAGGGAAUAUUUCUUCGUUUUUCUCUUUGCUUCGUUCUUACUUAAAGGGGGUAGAGUAAUCAAAUCUAUAUGAACUUGAUAAAUUGAAUCUUGUUCCUUUUUUAACUUGAGGAGAUGCUUCUUUGUUGUUAGAAAUUCAGGGCUUUCAUAGGGAUAGCAAGUUACAUGCUUAGCGUAACGAUGCUCUAUAUUGUACUCAACAAACUUGAAUGCUAUUGGCAUGCAGAAGAUAUUUUUUUGAAAGUGAUUCAGUUCGUGUGCGAUGUACAUUCACUAAAGAAAGGGUUUUGGCACAGAAAAUGUGUGUCGUAAAGCUCUUCUUUAGAAGUACAGAAUAAAUGCAAUUCAAUGAUAGUGUAACUGUCCAUUAGUAUGAUUUUGCUCCUUAGUGACUGAAUGCAAAUAGCCCAACUUUGUAUGGCCAAUCCAUUUUGAUGAGAAGACUCUUUUUACUGUGCCUUGGAUUUCACAUACAAAAAUAAUUUGAAAUGGGGAUACCUUUUGUUAUAAAGAUUAAGUCCGGUGUCCUAGGAGUUAUAUAAUUUUUGUUCUUCAGUAUUAAACUUAAAUGGAGCCAAAGGUAAAUGCAACUUGGUUUGGCUAUCAUGGAGAUAAUCUAUAGUCAAAAUAUUAUUCUUUUUUAGAGGUUGGUUUUACAGUUGCUGCCAUGUGCCAGUAAUUUUAAAGCUGUUCAAAAUAAUUUUGUAGAAUUAAUAGUUUUGUAAGGUUUAUUGUGCUCUCUUGUAUAGUUAAGCAGGUGAUCAAACCUGUAGCAGAAGUAGAUAAAACAAGCCCUAAAUCUUACUUCAGGCAGGUCUUGUAAGUAUUUCUAGUGGUUGGGUAUAGAGUUGCUACAUAAAAUUUCAGUUGAGGAGACUUGUGCAGACAAUGAAUCUCAUCCUCAUAUUUGUCAAGUGUUUAAAGCUCCAAAAUAAUGGAGCAGUCCCAAUUUUCUGAUCCUUUCUAUCGAUUUAUGGAAAUUGUUCUGAAAUACUGCAUUGGCUUUUGAAGUUGUGGCCUGUGUAUUCCAGUUUCUUAUCAGGUGUUCUAAAACAUUUCGACGAAAAUAUUCUUAGAAUUAAUCGGCAAUUUAUCAUUAUGUUUUCCAGGGAAGAUAGCAGUAAUUGGUGGAUGUCGCGAGUACACUGGUGCUCCUUAUUUUGCCGCUAUCUCUGCCUUAAAAGUUGUAUGUAUCUUCUAAAAGAUUAAUCAAUGAAUUGCACGUAGAUGCAAAUGUUUCACAUGUUGUUGUUCAGGGUGCAGAUCUCUCACAUGUUUUCUGCACAAAAGAUGCUGCAACAGUAAUUAAGAGCUAUAGCCCUGAGUUGAUUGUGCAUCCAAUACUUGAGGAGUCCUACAGUGUAAGGUAAUUUCAAUUGAUUUUUUGAGCCCGUUUGCUGGAAUAUCGAUUUGAUGUCUUGCAUAAUCUCAAACUUAUUUUGGAAGGGAUGAUGAAAGAGAAUCUGUUUCUUCUAUCAUUCUCACUGAAGUUACGAAGUGGAUGGAGCGCUUCGAUUGCAUAGUUGUUGGUCCUGGCCUUGGAAGGGACUCAUUUCUUCUGGUUUGCUUACAUGCUUAAAUAUCCCAAAAAUAUAACUAAUAUCUCUGUCCUAUUUUGUCCCUUUUUCCAGCUUUUCACUCUUUGCUAGUUGCUACAAUUCUGAGCGCAACUUGAACCUCUUGAAUCCAGUUGAAUAUAUUUUGAUUUGUGCAAGUUGAAGUAAAACCGACUCUACCAUGUCUAAUUUGAUAAUCUAAGUUUUGUGAAGAUGUUUGCAACUAGAAAGUUAGGUGGAGUUAAUAUGCAUAUGUAGAUGGUAAACAACCAAAUAUAGUCCCGGAACUUUUUCUGAGCUGUUACAUUGCUUGCCAAUUUUCUGCGUACAAUCAUUAGGUAUUAAAGUUAUAUCUUUUAAACCCUAGAGACUAGAUGAGAUGAAUUUUCCGUACAAUACCUUUUCUAUAUCAUAUCAAAAUUCUUUUUGUAUUAGUGACCCACAUCAAUGAUUUUUCGCUUACAUUAUGUCAUCUAGGUCUAAGUACAAUAAGAUAGUACUUAGUUGAUCUUCUGUCUGACCUUUACUUCACUUUACCUAUCUGUAGAAUUGUGUCAGUAAUAUCAUGAGACAUGCACGGCAGGCUAAUAUUCCAACUGUUGUUGACGGGGUACAUUUGAACAUACUUAAUAUACUUUAUGUAUUUAAGUUAGGAGUCCAUCUUAAAUUUAAUUUGUACUGCAGGAUGGCCUUUUCCUUGUAACCAAUAACAUUAGUCUUGUUGAAGAUAACUCUCUCGCCAUCCUAACACCAAAUGUAUACGAGUACAAGCGUCUUGUCCAGAAGGUGCUUAACUGUGAUGUAGAUGAGGAAAAUGCUUCUGAGCAACUGACUACACUUUGCCAAAAGUAUGAACGUAAUACAUUUACUACCUUUUUUCUUUAGGUUCAUUUCUAACCUUUUCUUCUUUACUUUCAGAAUUGGUGGUGUAACCAUCAUGAAGAAAGGAAAAGCAGAUGUAAUUAGUGAUGGUAAACAAGGUAUUAGUAAGGCACUUCGUUACUUAACUAAAGUUCAUCCAACUCCAGCUUUAAUCCCAUCUUUCUGUGUCCAGUGCUGUGAUUUAACUUGGGACCACUACUAACUCUUUUUUAUUUAAAACUACUGGAUAUUUCUUUUCUGCAGUCACACAAGUGAGUACAUUUGGUUCCCCAAGGCGAUGUGGUGGUCAAGGCGACAUUCUUUCCGGAAGGUUUGUUGCCCUUCUCGUUGCUGAGUUUCCCUUGUCCAAGUUUUGUGGACUCCUGUUAGGAAAAGCAGCAUCAUAAUAGGCAGAUUUAGAGUCUGCUAGGAAUCCAAGUCAGGGAGGGAGUUGACUAGCAGUUUUGGUAGGAUUCAAGGAUUGUAUUAUGAAAGGUCUAGGCACAAAAACCAAUACGGCCUCCUUCUAGACAGCUCCGGCCGCCGCCGAGUUCAACUCUGCCGCCGUCGCCACGAGCUCUCCGGUCAGCAACAUCAAUCUGCUCCUCCCGCUUGAGCCCCCUUCUGAUCUGCUCCGGACAUCAGAUCCGCGCCACCACCCUGACGCAUGUCCCCCACCGGUGGGUUCCCCCAUCGUUGCCACCUCCGAGUUCUAAUAUCGCCGCCGGCCUCUCCUUCAUUCGUGUGUUGCCUCUUUUGGAUCUGAAAUUUGUGGUUCAAUUCAAGCGUACUACACGGGUUGUAAAUUUUGGUGGAGUUCAUCUGCACAAAGGAUUUUUGACAUGUUUCUUUAGAGAAACAAGUGUGUGGGUAUUACAGACUUUGCACAUCUCACCACAGAAAAUAAGCUCAAGUUUGAGAAGCUGUUUGGAACAGAAGAGUUUCUCAGGGAUUCCCCACACCUGGGCUCUUGUGGACAGUUAAGCUUUAUAUGGCUUAUGCACAAGCUGAAACUGUCUAGAAGGGGGCUUACAUAAGUUGCUACAAUCUCUAAAUGUGCUUUUCAGCAUCUUCUGUUUGCCAAUAGAAAAUAUAUAUUGUCGAUCAAUGUUAUUGAUAUAUUAUCUUAAUUCUUUUACCAUGAACUUUGCCAUAAUAUGUUUUUUGAUAUCAAGGUUGGUUUGUUGCCUGAUUUUGUUUUACUGGUGAUAGCGUGGCGCUCUUCUCAUCAUGGGCACGACACUUUCUCUUGUCAAAUGACCAACCUACAGAGAAGAGGUAAUACUUAUUCGGUUAUUCCUCUUUGUCACUACUCUCUCAUACUAAAUCAGAUUGCUUUUGCUUUCAUGCGAUGCAGCGUGAACCCGAUGAUCCUUGGGUGCAUAGCUGGCUCUCUAUUGCUCAGGAAAGCUGCAGGGCUUGCUUUUGAGAAGAAGAAGAGAUCAACCGUAACUACAGACAUCAUUGAGUUCUUGGGCAAAAGGUGCGUGUGCCCGCACUAGACCUUCCGCUUGUACGACAGUUUAUCUGAAAGCUCCCUACCCUUUAAAUUGCAGCUUGGAAGAUAUCUGCCCUGCUGAGCAGUAGUGUUGGGUGGAUUUGUUCCAUCAUUGCCGAACUGUACCCCAGCAGCCUACAAUAAUGUUGAUGCUGGCAUUUGGAUAUUACCAUCAUCGUGUACAUAUUUUGUAGACUAAGAAGAGGGUGCUGGGAUGCUUUGAUAGACUGUCUGCUUCUUUGUAAGCGCUGCAUUGGACAUGGCCUUAUGACUUUUCAAGUAUCCUUCCCAUGAUAGCUAAAACAUCUAUAUCCUUUCUUUUGUUUUUGCGCCCCUUAAUUGUUUUUAAGAGUGAUUCGUUGUUCUCUAUUUAUAUGCUGUCUAUUAUGCUCAGAAAUUUGGAAGUCUGAGAAGGUCUCUCUUUUCUUUCUUUCUUUUUUGCACGAACUUAGAAGGUCUCUCUAUAAUUAUCGUCAUAAAUAUAAGGGGCUGAGGGCGUCAUGUAUACAACCUUUGCCAUAUUAAUACAUCCAACCUGCCAUGGAUUGAAUUAGUCUACACGCAGAUUUAUUGUUUGUGUCGGAUGGAAGAAUAUUCGUUUCCCAAUUUGUAUAUUUCAAUAUUAUUAUUUUUAUUCCAUUCUGUAUAUAUAUGUAUGAGAGUACCCUUCAGAACCACAUUUUUGUGUCUCGAAUUUCUCACAUAAUUCACGUCCAAUUUUGUCGGCUCAUCCAGUCAAUCUUAUAAUCACUUCCGACUAACAGUACGAGGGGCUCCUACUGCGGUAUAUUAAUAUAUAAAAGAUAUGUACAGAAGAUUACAUAAUUACAUUCUGGGACAAGCCCCAGAGAGAGAGCUAGAGAAAGUCUAACAAGGUGGCUAUCUCAGACGACAGGUUUUGAGGCACUCUAAAACCGCCUAAGAGGAUGAGAUUAGCUUUUCCAGGUUUAAAGAUUAAAUAAUUACGAACUUUCUAGAUAUUUCAGACAGCUAAAGCAAAAACCGCAAAGAAAAUAGGGCUGCCAAAAUUGAUUCUGAUCUCCGGGAGGGUAUCCAGACAAUUAGCGGCAAGGGGCCAAUGAAUCCCAAGCUGUACCAGCACUCAGAGCUAAAAGGACAAUUAAUGAACAGAUGGUUGAGGGUUUGUUCCACUUCAGCAUCACAAAGAACACAGUUUAUGUCACCACCAACUAUGAAAUUUCUCCUGUUCAGCAUAUUCCUGGUGUUAAGCCUGUCACUGAACAAUAACCAGGCAAAGACUUUAACCUUCAUUGUGACUUUUGACUCCCAGAUCCAUUUAAAUGGCCUAGGAACCUCAAUCCUUCUGAAACAAAAAAGAGUAGAAUUUUCAGGAGUCAUUUUUCAUAAUAGACAUAUUAGCAUCAACAAUGGCCUGAUCAAGGAGUUCAAUUUCAGAGAAGACUUCAGGGGACAGAGGGAUAUGUAAAGAAUCCUCCAGGUUGCCAAUAUUGCAGUAAUCAGCAAGAGAAAUGUCAACAUUUUUAGCAAAAGAAUAGAGAUAGGGCCACUUCUCAGACAGAGUUUCAUCAGACCAAGUGUCCUUCCAUAACAGGAUAGUGUCUCCCCUCCCAGAUUGGCAAGAGGAGAUACCACGAAAAAUGGGCAUUAAUCUGAAAAUGGAUAUCCACCAAAAGGAACCGACUGGAGUAGCAGCAUGAGGAGCACCUUGAGGAUAGUAGGACUCCCAUAUGAGAUUUACUCAAGGGACAUCCAUCUUAUCAAGAAACUUGUCUAAGUGCUUCAGAAGCAGGCCUUGGUUCUGGACUCUAAGAUUAAUGACACCCAGUCCACCUUUAUCUUUAGGACGACACACUCGAUCCCAAGCAACAAGGGAAUUACAGGAAUCACCAUUUGCAGUUUUUUUAACAAGCAUCUUCUUCUGAUUUUAUCAGUUUGCUCAAUGAUCUUCACAGGGAGCUAAAGGGAACACAUUGAGUAGGUAGCAAAUGAGGAAAAAACGGAGUUAACAAUCGUAAGCUUGCCCCCAUAAGAGAGGAGGGCGGUUGUACUGGACAUUCUCCUCUCAAUCCUGUUGACUAGAGGAAGAAAAUCAGAAAACACAGGUUGAGUGGUGCCAACAGGGAGACCCAAAUAAGUGAAAGGCAUAAAGCCCACUUCACAACCAAAAAUGCCAGCAAGAACCAGUGCUCUUUCAGGCUCCAGAUUGAUGGGAAUAAGGUUUGACUUAUGGAAGUUGAUCUUAAGUCCUAUGGAGUCAGCACAAGCAGAGAGGAGGUUCUUGAUGUGACUCAUGUUCUUGGAUUUCUCGCAUGACUCACGGUUUAAAAAGUCAACUCCGCCGGCUCACCUGAUCAACCAUAUAGUCGCUUUCGAUCAACUCGGCGAGGCGAACUUAGCCAUGGUCUCGGAUUUCCCACAUGUCUCACUGUUUAAAAAGUCAACUUUCGGUAAACUUCGUCGGUUCAUCCGAUCAAUCAUAUAGCCAUUUCCGACCAACUCGGCGAGACGAACCUAACCAUGGUCUUGGAUUUAUUGCAUAACUCACGGUUUAAAAAGUCAACUUUCGGUCAACUUUGUCGUCUCAUCCGAUCAAACCAUAUAGUCGUUUCCGACCAACUCGGCGAGACGAACCUAGCAUGGUCUCAGAUUUCUCACAUGACUCACGAUUUAAAAAGUCAACUUUUGGUUAACUUCGUCGGCUCACCCGAUCAACCAUAUAGUCGCUUCUGACCAACUCGUCAAGAUGAACUAACCAUGGUUUUUUAUUUCUCGUGUGACUCAUGGUUUAAAAAUUAGGAGUGCUGCUCAUGUAUGUAACGUACAUUCGGACCAGCAGAAAAAAAAACAAUUAGUAGGAGUUUAUAUUUAUUUUUUCGUCACGGGUAUUGAUGGGGUCAAGUUAUAGUUUUCUCGAAGAAAAAAGUCAGGUCUUUGCUAAUUAAUGUUGUACUACUCAUUUCUUUCUCUAGUAUCAAAAGAUACAGUAAAAAACCUCUAGUUCUACUCAUUUCUUUGUCUUUCAGCCACACUUCAAGUAACUUUGCGGUUCCUCCGAUUCCUAACCCUACAGCGACAGAGCCACUCGAGCACCAACCAUAGGCGCGUUGGGCAACUCGUCUCCCAUCUAGCAUUUGCUUGUGCUGCCUAUCUAUAUCUAUUCCUAAAAAUCGUUUAGAUACAUGUAAUAUUUCGACAAGAAUUAUGUAACGGAUGAAAUAAAUGUUAAAGUAGUACAGGGCUCAAUUAUGUUCAAAAGAUUGAAGUACGCCCAGGUCGAACUGCACAGUACUUUAGAGGGACAUUACAAACAUGUACUCACUCUGUUUCUGCAUGAACAAAAUUACGCAAAACCAACAUAUUUGGGAUAACAUUUUAGGAAAAACCACAUUUUUUAAUUUUUUCAAAUCAUCAUCACUUUUGUGGACCGUUGUAUUCCCGCGCACUAAUUUGCGACUUGAACGCGUUUUGAUUGAAAACCUGUCAGGAAGGGCCCAUCUGUUGGUGCCACCGUGGCGACACGCUGGACAAGUGGUGCCACCGUGUCCGAACCAAGUAAAUUGCACAAAACCACCGGAUCGAAGACACUUGUUACGAAAACCACAGUUUUUGCUAAUUUUCGGGCAGAACCACCGCGUUUCAGGCAAGUUUUUGCACAUAUCACUAAUUCUGACGUUUGGGGCGUAUAAGCUCAUUUCUGACACCUCGGGCCCAGCGUUAGCUCCAUUCGGUAGCCCCGCUUGGAGUCGCUGCAACGUGAGCAUGGCCUUCUCGCGACCGACGGCGGCGGAGCGCGCCAUCCGGAUGAGCAGCGGCAGCGCGCCCUCCGCUACCUUCAACCUGUUUGACGAAUUGCUCAAGUUACAGUGGACGUGCCGCUAUUUGCUUCCCCAACCUACAACAACACAACAUCGAAUAUCUGGAGCGUCCCGUCCACUUCAAACUCCUGAAAAAGACACCCACAAGGUGUUCGACCAUAUGCUUCGCAGGCGAUUUUAGCGCCGGUAGUGCUCCCCCAUGCCGACACGAGGGAGAGUGAGCACAUGAGGGACGGGCUGGCGCCUUCCAUUGCUGUAUGCUUGCCUGCCUGCGUGUGUUGUGUCAAGGACGAGGUAGAGGACGACGGACGAAGGGGCCGGGCCCCGCCUAACGGACGGAGAUAAGACAAAGUUGAGUUUGUCAACCUGACAUGUGGGCCCGAGAUGUUAUAAAUGAGCUUAUACGCCUGAAAACGACAGAACCAGUGCUAUGUGCAAAAACUUGCAUGAAACGUGGUGUUUUUGCGCAAAAAUUAACAAAAAUGGUGGUUUUCGCAACAAGUGUCUUCAGUGUGGUGGUUGCGCAAUUUACUCGGUUCGGACACGGUGGCACCACUUGUCCAUCGUCGCUGCGGUGGCACUGACAGGUGGGCCUUUCUGUCAGGGUUUUCAAUCAAAACACGCUCAAGUCACAAAUUAAGCGCAAGAGUACAACGGUCCACAAAAAUGGUGAUGAUUUGAAAAAAAAAAACUGUGGUUUUCCUGGAAGCUUGCCCCAAUUGUGAUGAUUUUGCGUAAUUUUCUCUUUCCGCAUGCUACUAUAAAAAGUCCUAUCUUUGUGCAGUAAAAUAAAAAGUCCUAACUUUAUGCUAAGUGAACUUAUUCAAAUUUGAUCAAGGCUAUAGAAAAAACUACUAAGAUUUACAAUAUCAAACUAGUAUUACUAUAAAUAAUGACGUAAAUAAUAAAACUAAGUUGGAGUGCUUGCUUAAAAGAAAAGCAAAUUUCACACAACCACGCACCAAGUUGGAGUGCCUCCCCACCGCAUCGUCCCUUUUCGGCCGCCGCCGCAGUCCACCGCGACGGGGCGCUCUGCGUCUCCGCGCCCACCGGCCGCCGCUGCGACUCGAGGACCUCAUCCCCAACCACGCCACACGGCGUCUCUUCCAGUUCCAGGGCUGGUGCGUAGCCCGCGGCCACGCGGACGAGCGUGCGCCCACGCCCACGCCCCGUCGUAGUCUUCAUCGCCAGCGGGAGGCAAGAGCUACAAGGGGAGAUUCGCCCUCGCCCGAGCACGUACAAAUACAUGUACAAUCAGCAUACACGGUGCGGCACUAGCUCAACUAUAUCCUGAAAACUAGCUAACGGUCUCAGGUGGAUAAGUGCAACAUCGAUUCACUUGGAGCAGUUGGCAACAGAAUUACAGAAGCCUUUCCUUGACAUCUGCGGUGCGGCAGCUGCACCUCUCAAGUCUCAAGUGCAGCCUCCGUGCCUCCGUGGCCUGUAGAUGCCCCGCCUGGACGCCCUGUGCGCUCCCUCCGCCGCGUCCGUACCUUCUUCCUCGCCUCCGGCCAAACGCCGCCAUGGCCGGCGCCGCCGCCCCCAAGCCUCCUGCAGCUCGCAGGCUCGCAGCUUGCAGCACAAGCACCGCUGUGCCUCCACGACCUCGCAGCUUGCCCUCCCGCGUCCUGAAUCGCCCCCGCAUCGCCGAAAGCCGGCAGCGGCGCUCCCGCCGGCGUUCGGGAAGAAGACGACUACCACCUACGCGGCGCUCGGGCGCGCGACGAGGCCCAAGGAGGGGCGCGGUGCGCUCUCCACGCCCUGCGGUCCAGCAGGCGGCCAGGCAGGAAGAGAUGGCUGACAAAUGGGGUACAUUUCCUCCCUCGUGUCAAUCAUCUCCGACGCCAAUCUCUCUCCCCCACCCCCCACAGCAUGCCCUUCGGCGUGUCUCCUGACAUGUGGGUCCCACCGGUCAGAAUUCGGGCAGGUUAAGUGAGAAGGAUUGACGCAAAAAAUAUGGUUCUGCCGACGGUUUUGCAUUAAGUGUGGCUCCACAUCAUAGUUGCCCCAAAAAGUAUGAUUUUAUGAAAUUUACUCUUAAAGAAACCUUAAUAAAAAAUAUAUCUCUAGUGAGUAAACAACUGUCUAAAUUGGACGUAAGAUUGUAGGAUCAAAUUUAUAUGUUAAUGGUAGUACCAUGUACCUCUUCCGUCUCAUAUUAAGUGUCUCAAAUUUAUCCAAAUAUGAAUGUAUCUAUACAUAAAAAGCAUCUGGAUACAUGUAAUAUUUCGAAUACGAUUUUGUGGUUGUUGUCUUGAUGCUCGCAGCUGUGUCGAGUGUCGACCUUGAGAAUGUGCACUGCAGCCUUUUGAUUUUAAUAGCAGUGUCCAUGCGUUGUUAUGAAUUAAAAAAAAUGUACCCUACAGACACACGAAUCUCCGUCUUCUUCAACUUUUCUUCCUCAUCUUUAGCUGCACCAAUCUUCAAUUGGGUCGGACCGGAUAAGGGGACCAGCUUAAACCUACCUGGUCGGGCCGGCGGUAACGGGCGUUAGCAUCGUCUCUGCCACAUGGCCUGAUGAGUGGGCCCCAUGUCAGUUUCGCCAUCAAAACGCCAUCGACGGAGAGAUUGGUGCACCCUGCGCCCGGCUGUUGGUUUUAGAUAAAUAAAACUGGUGGUCAUGUGCACCGGUUGUAAUCCGGUGGUUUUUUUAAUUCAAUCUUGUUACAGAUACAGGCAAAAUAACUCAUUCUCCAAGGUUUGUACUAGUGUCCUUGUCUAGUAUACUAUUUGCAAUCUUUUAGCAUUCGAUUCAGAUCUGAAAUUUCUUGCUAUUUCAACACAAACAAGGAGUAGAUAUACUUGCCAGACCAUCAGCUCCUGCCUAUCAACCUACAGAUUGAUUCACUGAUAAGCUUGCAAUGCUCGUCACAAAUGUUUCCCUUCCAUCAUUGAAGAAAUUUUGUAAUCUUUAAGAAGAUACUCUUUAGAACCUUUCAGUGAAGAAAUUUUAAGGAGCAUUCGUAAUUUUGUAAUCUUGAAGAAAUUUUCUCAGGUAAACACAUAUAUACAUUAAGCAUUGGAGAAAAUUACGAAUGCUCCUUAGAACCUUUCAGCAUUGUGUAUCACUGCAAAGUAGAAGUACAUACUAGAGAUGAUGGCGUUCAUCCCUUUUGUUGGAUAAAACAAGGUGGUUGCCUCUUAUAAAAAAACCAAGGUGGCUGCAACUAAAAUACUACACCUCAACAUAGCAAUAAGUCAUGUUGAACAGUGAACACCAACCUAGUCAAUCUUUGGGUCAAUGAACUCUGAAAUUCUCCAGGGAGUAGGCUGAUAUGGAUGAACAGCCGCAUGCCCAUUAAGAUCAGAAAAUGCACAUCAGGUAAUUAACAAACACAUGGCAACUGCACCUUUCCAUCACAAACAUGCAACCGUGAGACACUACGAGAUGAGGAAACAAAACACGAAAUAAAAUUUGGAUAGGUAUCGACAAGAAUAGGCCUCCAAAAUUAUCAAAACCUAAUAAUCUUGACAAUAAUUGCUCUUCCGCCUGAAAUACAGAGAGCACUAUAUUACAAAACACAGGGCAUUAGUUCUUAUUACUGUUAAAACUCACAGUAAUAUCACACACAUCAGUGCAAUUUCCAGGGACAUUGAAAUUGCAAGCAGUUGCACAAAAAACUCAAUUUGUUCUAACUUUCUAGUUUUCUAUCACAAUCUACAAAAAGAAGCCACUAAAUUAUACCCAAAUGUAAGAGCAUCUCCACUCAGCCCCCCCAUUUCACCUCCGGCGCUAGGCCAUUUGAGGGGGCGCCGGCGCACCCUCUUCGUUUGAGGCCGAGCGGUGACCCAGCCGCCCCCCCUAGACGUCGCCCCCCCCCCCCCCGCCCCCCCAAAAACACAUUUGAAACAAAGUAUUGCCGCCAUUUCACAGGCCGGCCCAAAUCAUGAAAUCGCCCAAGUUCAUCACAAGAUUCGGCGAUCAAAAUAACAUCAAACUUAAAUAAAAGUGAAAUCACUCGGCCACUUCGUCUUCCGCCGGUGCUAAUGGCUCUUCCGUGCCCGCCGGUGGUGUAGAAGUGGCCGCAGUUGUUGUGUCGGGCAGUGAGGGCGCCGAUAGAGUAGAGGUGGCCGUUGCUGCUGUUUGGGGCGCUGACGCCGGUGCUCUCGCUUCGGCCAAAAUGAGCCUGCGCUGGCCGUCGUACCACGCCCUCACCUCGUCGUCCAUGCCGGUGGUGUCGCAUGUCAAGAUCAACAAGUCCUCCCGCCUCUUCUUCGCCAAGACAUUCGCCUUGAGGAUCUCGAGCUUGUCAUCUUGCUUCUUGAUCACCGUCGCCCAUCGUGACGCUGCGACCUCCUCCCUCUUGGCGGCGAGCUCGUCCCUCUUGGCGGCUUGUGCGGCGGCGUCGGACAUGCACUUCUCGAUGCAUGUGUACAGGUGCUCCGUGGCCGGCGCGGCAUCCCUCAUUGCCUUUGCCUUCUUGUGGCCGAUGGGCCGGCCUUCCGCUGCCGCCGGAGGAGCGGCUGUCGGGUCGUAGGUGCCGGUCUUGGCGAGGCCGGCACGCGUCUCCGUCCACUUGUCGCACGUCUCAAUUCUUACAAAGACCUGGAUGAACUUGAAUUUGGCGUCGUCGUUGUCGUCUCGGAAGGCAGUGAACAUGGCGACCAUCUGAUCAUGGGCGCUGCUGCCGCUUGCGGGUCGCCGGCGCGCCUCUUCUUGAAUGCCAUGCCACUUGUUGCACGCUUGUUGGAUCAUUUGCCACCGGUGCGACAAGCCAGACUCGUUGCGAUCGUGGGUCAUCGACGCGAACUCCCGGUCGAUGACCCGGCGCUCAUCAUACGCAGUCUUCACACGCCGCCAAUAGGUGUCGUCGGAUGGAUUCGCGCCGGUGAAGGGAUCCAAGCUCACGACCUUCCAAGCUUCGGCGAGGCACUCGUCUUCCUUGGCGGUCCAUUUGGGGCCUCGGCCUCCGCCCCCGGACUUCUUCUUCUCAGCCGCACCCUUCUUCUUCCCCUUCGGCGCGGCGACGACGGGCUCCUCUGUUCCGUCGGCCCAUUCUUCUCGCUCUUCGGUGUCGUUGGAGGUGUAAGGCUCCUCCUCUUCUUGGGUGUAGGUGUAGUGGGCGUGCUGGGAGCCGUCGUUGAUCAUGUCGGCCAUGAUGGAGUCACCUUGCGACAUUCCGCCAAACAGGUUGGGUGCGGGCUGGCUGCAUCCGGCGGAGAACUGCGGGAAAGAAGAGGCGGACGGCGAGGAACCGCCGUAGGAUAGAGGCCCCCGCCGCAGAGGAGGUGAGGCGAAGGUGUGGGGGUUGAAGCCGCCGAGGGGAUCCGCGGCUAAGGUGUUGGGGUUGAAGCUGCCGAGGAGAUCGGUGUCGGGGUAGUCCGGCGAGAACCGCGAGAGGGACGGCAUGGCAUUCCCCUGGUGGUCAUGGGCAUGUGGGGCGACACCGGCGACGGGGACGAUGAAGAGCUCCCUUGACUGCCACUGCCGCUCCAGUGUUAGGUGGGCGGCGGCCGCGGCACAUGAAUGCCAGCCGAGGCCACGGCCGCGGCCCUCUGCGCCUCCAUCUGCCGGGCCAGGUCGGCGUUCCUCUCCUUGGCCCUCCUCUCCCGUUCACGGCGGGAGGCGUUCUCGACGUUGCAGCGGGUAACAUCCGCCGCCCAGUCGGUGUUGCUCAUCCCAAGCGGCCGCUUCUUUUCCCUAGGUUUCUUCGGCGCUGGGUCGCCGGCCAGCGUGCGAGGCGUUGUAUACCUCUUCGGCGGCAUGGUUUUUUCUUGGAGCGGCGCCGGAGUCGGCGGGGCGCUUUGACGGCGGCGAGAAUGGGGGGAAAUGGCGGGACGGCUUGGCGCCCUGGCGGGGGUGGGGGAGUGGAGCGAGAAGGGUAGCCGCCUGUCGUCGCUCGGUGCUCCGACACCGGGGGCGUGCGGCCACGUCCCCCUUUUAGGUUCGGUAGGGGCGUCUGGGGCGGAGACCCGGUGAUCGCCGGCACGGGCGAUGAGGCCCUACCGGGCCGGCGAGACGAAGAGCUAGGGGUACGCGCUAGCCCAAGAACAGAUGCACGUACAUUUUUUACCCAGGUUCGGGCCACCCGGAGGCGUAAAACCCUACGUCCUGCCUGACUAAACUGAUAUUGAUUACGGAUCAAAGGCUUACAGGUUGCCGGGCAAGCUCCCGGGUUUUCUCUCAGUCGCUAGGCGCUCCUCACCGCUCACCGUUGGCUGCCUACUGGAGCCAGUAAGCAUCUAUCGAGCGAGCUUCGUCCAAACCAACUAACUCACCAACUGACUAACCUCCCAACUAUCUGAGCCAUCAACCCUCUAACCUCUUAGACCGUUGGCAUGGUUCCUCCUUUUAUACACAAGGGGAAGCCACAUGUGCCACGGUGCAUGUACUACAAGUGUCCAACGGGGAGGCACGCAACUCUCCCUGGUGAGCUGGUGGCAUGCAUGGGUGCCACCUCCGCUGCUAGGGGCCUAGGACCCUAGGGUAGGAUUGGACAACUAUUGUUCCUUCGACCGGACGGGUAACUACCCGUCGGUCGGCUCGUUUACUGAGCCGCGCGCCUUACUCCUUGCCUCGGUGGGACCACGUGUUCCGCGCCCGUCACGCGCCCGCGCGGUGCUGUCCAGUGGGCCCCACGACCCGAGGCGGGGGCACGCGUCCGGGAACCCCCAGUCCCCGCAAGUCGGCCCGGGAAGCACCCGGGCCCAGCGCACCCGGGACCCUCCUCCCGGGAAGCAGCUUCCCGGGAGGUGCCUAAGCAGGAAUAUUUCCGGAAGCCCCGCUAGCCCCUUUCGGGCUGGUAGCUUUCCGGGAAGCUCGUCGGCGCUCCCCGGGAUGAGACCUUCCUGGGAACCCGGGGGAGGGGGCCACGCGUCUCGCAGCGGUGGUACCCCGGGUGCCACGGGUGCGACAGUAGCCCCCGGGCGUGGGCCGGCAUCACCUGUCCCCGGAAGGGUCUCUUCCUAGCUGGUUGCCGGGCUACGCCCUUAACCAACGUGUGGGCCCCCGAUCAGUUGCGGGCCCGCGUCCCUUCGCUCCCCGUGUACGGCGCCGCCAAAAGCGGAGUAGUGGGCGCGAGAUUUCCGCCCUAAUUCCCCCCCCUAAAUCGGGUAGUUAAGGCCACUCCGCGCAUUACUCCCAGUGAUUAGGAGUUAUCCCCGCGCACCCGUAGGGUACAGAACCGGCCGUUACCAAAUGACCGGGCGUCAUAAAGCUUCCACUGUUGGCAACGGGGAGCAACACUUUGCCCUUUCGCCUCCAUCCUCUUCCGCAUCUCGCAUCCCUGCGCUCUUGCCAGCUUCCGCCCUCGCUCCCCAUGGCGCCCCCCACCACCAGAAAGGGGAAGGAGGUCCAGUCUUCGAAGAAGCCCGCGACCAGCAAGACCGAGGCGGCACUCAAAGCGACCGCCGCCAAGGACCAGAAGAGGCGGGAGAUGUGCGCGAAAGUAGCCUUUUUCCGCCCCGGCUACAACGGCGAGGCGCUGGGGAAGCUCCGGCACACCGUCGCCUCCAACUUCAACGAGCACGGGGAGACGCGGAUCUUCCCGGCGGGCGUCGAACACCAGGAUAACGACUUCCGGGUGUUCGCGUGCUUCCUCCUCUGCGGCAUGGUGCCGCCCUUCUCUCUGUUCCUCCACGCGCUGGUGGAGUCCUAUCAGCUGUGGGUGGCGCAGCUCCACCCCACCUCGCUCUUCCUCCUCGCCACCUUCCAGUUCCUCUGCGAGGCGUUCGUGGGGGUGAUGCCGUCGGUGGGGCUCUUCCGGCAUUACUUUUACCCGCGCAUCGACAAUGCGAAGGCGAUGUCGUCGGGGGUGGUUUUCCACGCCCGCGACCAGAUGAAGUCGGAGUUCAUCGUCCGGUCGGGGAAGAAGAUCGAAAAAGAGUGGCGGGGCGACUGGUGCUGGGUCCGAGUGGAAGACCCCCAGGAGUUCAUCUAGCUGCCGACGGAGCUGCCGGUGCCCCAGAUCGGCUGGCAGGAUAGGUACCACCGCGACGCCGACCUCCUCCCCAUCAUGGAGAAGAUCAAGGCGUUGUGGCUAGCGGGGCUCACAGAUGUCGACGUGGCGCGCACCUUCGUCCAUCGGCGCAUAGCCCCGCUGCAGCUGCGUUCCCGGCCCGCGUGGAUGUACACGGGCUCCGGGGACAGGACACGACUCCAGGCGGACGACAUGGACUUGGAGUCCCUCAAGACGUGGGUGAAGGGGAUCUCCGGCGAGGUCUUCCAGUCGAUAGAGUUCCCGCCGGGGGUCUCCGCUCUCCAUGCCGGCGUCAAGGCGCUCAGCGACAUCGUCGGCGCCUUCCCGCCCUGCAAUGAGUGGGGGCUGAUGGACGACACCCCCACCCGCGUCCCGCACGCUCCCCCGCAAGCAUCCCGCGGGAAGCAGGUGCUCGAGGAGAGCAAGGGCGGGUCCGAGCCCAGCUGGCCCUCCCUCCGGUCGCUGGACGACGAGGCGGGCCAGGUGGCUGCGUCCCCGGAAGUCGUCGCCAUGGAGGACGACGACGAGGAAAGCAGCGACAGCGUGCCCCUGAUCCUGAGAAGGUCGAGGGCGUUCGCGGCGGCCGCAGCCACUUCCUCAACAACGACGUCCGCCCCGGCAGCGGCCCCCAACCUGGCGGCAGCCGCCGCUCCUGGGGCGCCCGUGAAGGGGCGCGUAGAGAUAAACAAAAACUUUUCUUACGCGAACUCCCAAGAUCUAGCCGAGGUAGAAGGCCACGAGGAUUACCACUAGAUGCGCAGUUGCGGAUUAUUGAUGCGGCGCCUUGAUGCAGUGCAGUCCCUCGAUCCGAUCCAGCCGAUCCAAUCCCGCGAUCGUCAAAGUGCUGAACGUACAGCACCUCUGCCGGUAUCCACACGUGCGAGGAGGAGCUCCGGCGGCGGACUGCUAGGUCCGGUGCGACGGUUGAACUGAAUCGGGCUAGGGUUCUCAACGCAUGAGAGUGGAAAAACCGUGCCCCUUAGGCAUCCCACGCCCCUGCUUAUAUAUCGAGUGGAAAUGGGCUCCAAGCCUUGUGGCCCAUCCACCCUGCGAGUCCAACUCGCAUUGUCAGCCCAAUUCCAGUUCGGGUCCAACCCGACCAAAUACUUGCUCCCGCUCUUAAGUGUGUGACCCCGCAGGCUCAUGGCGACUUGGACACGAUUGGAGUCCGACUCACAAUCGAUCAAUCGGUAGUGGCUCGUAGCAGAACGUGCCGACUCCCAAGUACCAUCGAGUCAUGACGACGUACCUUCCAAUGUGACAUACGUCUUAGUCCCUUUUGCCUCACGAUAUACCUUGUCGAACUAUAGGCGAUUAAUCGUCAUCCCUUUAAUAGUUCAACUCUCUUCUCGAUCUGUGAUAUACGAUUCAUCCGACUAACUCUUAGUCGAUCAACCCGGUUAACAGUUAACCAAGUCGCGCAUGGCCAUGCUUCCCGAAUCAUAUCACUCGAGAGGGCCCAGAGAAUAUCUCUCCAGUCGGAGGGGAAAAAUCCCAUCUUGGUUAUCCACAUCACACAGCUUGAUUCUCAGUCAACCCGAACUCUGCCUUUAUAACUGCCCUGUUACGGAACAACGUUUGACAGAACCUAAGUUGGUGAUCCACAACUCGGAUUGUGCGAUAACCUCAGGUCUAAGGAUUACAUUGAUUGAGACAUGCAAAUGACGACCUACUCGUUGCAUCUCAAUAUGGGUCAGUCCGACUCACUAAACUCUUUAGCCGAGUCCGUGUAAGCUGGAAUGACAUCACCAUGCCCAUGACAAGUGGAACCGAGUCAUCAGCCAACUUUCACAUUAGUCUAGGUUAUGUGUCCAGCACAACCUCAAUGAUUAAGGACAAUUUAGUAUGAACAACAUGAAUACAUAGUUCCACAAUCAAAUCACAUAUUCAAUGAUACAUAUCAGAUGUUCAAACAAGGACAACUUAAUAAUAUUUAUGAAUACAUUGGGAAUUACAUCAUACAUGAUUGCCUCUAGGGCAUAUUCCCAACAGCCCGUUGGUACCACGACGGCAUCCGCGGCAACAGGGGCCGCGAGUGCGUCGGCGGUGGCCCCUGUCUUGCUGGCGGCCGCCAACUCCGCGGUGGGAACCGGCCCCGGGGUGCUCGCCGGUAUCCCGGCAACAUCAGCACCUGCGGGGGCCAUCGGCUUCCCGGCGACGGCCUUCGCUCCGGUAGCGGGGGCCUCCGCGAGCUUGGCGCGCGGCGUCGCGGCGGCAUCGCCAUCGACACCUGGAGCUCUCCGGGUCACGACGACAACGCGGGCGCCCACGGCGCCGCUCGCUCGGGGGGUCUUCCGGGGCUUCGCGCUCCGGCGCAACCCUCCGAAGUCCUCCUCACCGGUGGGCGCCAGCAAGAGGGCGAGGAGUGAUUCCCCGCCUGGCUCGCCAUGCAAGAGGACGCGCGGGUGGCGGCGCCACCGACCCCGCUGCCUCGGGGGCCAGCGUCGGCGCAGGCGUGCCCCUUGGCGACCCAGCUCAAGCGAAGACAGAGCCGGCACUAGGUAUGUCUUCGUCGAUUCCCUGCAACUGCAAUUCCUGCUGGCCAAAUUCACAAACAUACCUUCUCUUUUUGCAGCGAGCGGCAGCUCGCCCGCGGCAAGACCCUUGGACGCUCCCGCGGGCGCAGGCGAGGUAGUGGAGGCUGCAUCGGCAAGCCCGACGGCCGCACAAGGUAACCGCCCCGGUCGCCCUUAUUUUCCUUCGAUAGCACCAACCAUCGCCGACCCUCAUGCUUUUCCACGGGUGCAGGCACAAGUGCGCCCGCGCCAGGAACAGGGACGGCCGUGGUCGACCGCGACACGGUCAUCGGGACCACGGGGGCGGAGGUGGAGUCAGAAACGGCUCCCGUGUCCGCCCCCGCCGGGACGGACACAGCGGCCGCAGUGGGGAUCGCCGUCCGGGACCAGCAGUUCGCCUUCGUCACCUCCUACAACGAGGUGAGGGAGUGCCACACCACUGCCAAGAAUCAACUCGGCGAGGUGCGGGAGGCCAUCGAGAGAGAGCGGCGCGAACUCUCCCGGCUGCGCGAGGAGGCGCGCCUCGCCGAAGAGGAGGCGCGCCUCGCCGAAGAGGAGGCGCGGCUGGCCCGGCAAGCCCUGGAGGCUGCUCGGGAGCCGGUAGUCCCGGAGACCGAGCUCCGUCAGCAACUGGAGGUCCAGCGCACGGAGCUCCAAGGAAGGCUCGACGCAAUGGCGUCAACCCUAGAAGCUUCCCGGAAGGAGCAUGCCGAGAUGCUCGCGACGGCCCAGGCGCGGCUGGACGAGAAGAGCGAGCUAAUUGCCAACUACCGCGGCAAAAUCGAAGGCCUCCGCGUCCUGCUGAAGGUGCAGGUCAAGGCCGCCGAGGAUGCGGCGAGAGCGGCGACUCAGCACGAGGCCGAGCUCAACUCGGUCAAAGGCAAAGCGGCCGGGCUUGAGGACGAGUUGGCCGCCGUCCGGGAAGAGCUCGCCAAGGCCGGCGAGGCCAACGCGACCCAGGCCUUAGAGCUUGCGAAGCUGGAGGGCUGCGUCAGCAAGGCCAAGAAGGCCGUGCAAGACGCCCGACUCCAUCACAGCACGCUGAUCGGGCAGCGGCAGCUCGAGACGGAGAAGCUGGCGAAGAUCGCCGGGUCACUGCGCGACUUGCUGCCCAAGUUCGAGCUGCAGGCGGCGGAGGUGGACGGCACGGACGUCACGACGCUGAUCCCCUUCUUCUCCGACUUGUUGGGGAAGCUCGGGGCGCUCGACGUUUGGAUCGCCAAGUACGGCGCCAACAAAGUCGCCAACUGCGCCCGGGAGGUUGCCGGGACAAUCCUCCCGCGGAUUCAUCUCCGGGACCCAGAAUUUCCCUUCGAGUCCCUGCUGGACGCUUGGUCCGACAGCGAGGACGAGCCCACGCACACCCAAGCAGUGCGCGAGUUCGUCGACGAGGUCGUCGAGCGGAUGCAGAUGAAGCCGGAGCCUGAACCCCCCGUCGACCCGCCGGCCGAAGACGGCGACAGCUAGCUGCCGCAGCCCCCCGCUAGACUCGUUGCUUCCCCUGUACCUCCUUCUUGUUUGGACAAUGACCUUUUGAUUAGUCCAUGUAACCACUCGACACCUAGUCAAUCAAGCUUGUUAGUUUGCUUAAUUUCUGUCCUUUAUUCCCGAGGCCGCCUCGCGGGGUGGUUCCCUUAGCCUUUGUGUGUCUUGCCUUGUGUUGCGGGGGGACUCGCGCACGCCUCACCCUUGACCAGACCAGGGACCCGGGAUGGACCCGCAGUGCCGACCUGGGGCCAAGCGGUAGCGGGGAGCCACUCCGCUUGCGGGGUAACCACUCCAAGCCGUGUCCUCCUGGGGCGGACCCGGGAGCCACACGGGGAGCGCACUCCCCCCGCAAGCGUCCCUUUUUACACUCCGGCUACGCGCGGGAUCCAGCGCCGCACCCAGCGGGGCAGUGCUCGGUUUCAUUCAGCUCUUAGCAAAUUCAGCGUUCAUGUUCAGAUACUUAGCUUUUUCGUGCGGUCCAAUGUUUCGCGAUGCUCUGCGGUAGAGUGCAGACGGGGCGCUACCUCGGUAGGAAUCCAUCCGGGGUACCUGUUCAAGGGAAACGAUCUCGGAGGGAUGUGGCAGGAACGCGGGGGCAGGAUUGCCGCUGGCGGCAACCGCCGCCGACGAUGCUACCACCACGCUCACGCGGCAACCCUCGCUCUCAGGGGCGGACCCUGGCCUUCAGGGACGAACCCUGGCUUAGGAGGACUCCGCCCCGGGAGCAGCCGCGAGACGGCUAUAACAUCCUCGGUGCCGGCUUCGCCACACCCCGAACGGCGGGUACGGGUGACGAGGAAGUUAUAGCCUUCCAGCGACAGCCCCCGCAACUGGGGAGACCUGGGUUUUAUCUAGGGGACUCGUCCCAAGGGAUGCGACGACCCUUGUUACCCGGGAGCUAAACUGCUCGAGGGCCGCGGCAAGGACGCGGUGAUGGGCCGGAACGAGCGAUGAGCGCCGGCACCGGCGCCAUCACAGCGUCCUCACAACGACCCGCGCCCGAAAAAGGCUCUCUCAAAGGGAAUGCGGCCGGGUCUCUGUGAUAGUGCACCCACCGGCACAAGGCAUGGAUGGCACGCACUACCACAGAGUCUCCGCGCCGACCCUGAUCCUUGCGGAGGUGUCCUACGGAGGGGGGCGACAAGGGCACUUUGGCAAUGCACCCCGUCAGCGCCGGACGCUGACGGGACGCACCACCACAGUGCCUCUGCGGCGACCCUCGCCCCGGAACCGCCCCUUUGAGGAAGCGCAGCAGGGGCACAACGGCAGUGCACCUGUCGGCGUGGGAUGCUGAUGGCACGCACUACCACCGUGCCUCUGCGGCGCCCCUCGGGGUGGGCUCGAUGGGGUGAUGCGGCAGGGGCGUGAUGGCGGCGCACCCGCCGGCGUUAGGCACCGGCGGGAAGCACCACCUCCGCGCCUCCGUCGCACCACCUGCUUUCAUGGCCCCGAACCCGGCUUCGCUCUGAGCAAUUCCAUGGUUGGGGCGCGCCUUUUAUAGACACGGGAGGGAGGCUUGCCACCGCGCGCGACGGAUCCGCGCGGCACCGUGGCGCCUUUUCCCCGAACGCGGCGCAGUUUCCGCCGCCAUGCUUACCGGGUAACCACGGCACACGUGGCGGCCAGCCGUCAACUCAGAAGCCUCGGAGUGCGGUGAACCCCUUGUGUUGUGGUCCUCCCUCACCACAAGGCAUCGGUGUAGGGUGCGACCCGUGGGCAGCUCACAGGCACCACAGCGUACAAGAUUCCUUCCUUUCCUGCAGGUUAGACUCUUACCAGAUCCGAGGUGGUGAAAAAAUUUCGAAACUUAUGAAAACAAGUAACACAGGUAAAUUAGAUAAACCACAGGUAAAUUAGAUAAAUCACAUCUCUCCUGCUUCCCAGCCCCCGGCACAAAGGGGUCGAUGCCAAACUUGGAUCUGAGCAUUUCCUUUCCCGGGCGCAGCGACUGCGCGGUGCAGGCGGCGGGAGGCCGAGCAACCGCACGCCUAGUGGUGCACGUUGCGGGAAGCCCGCCAGCGGCACGACCAGUGAUGCACGUUGCGAGAAGCCCGCCAACGGCAUGUCCAGUGCCGGAACGAUCCGGCAACGGGUUUUCGUGCUCACAACCAAGUAGGGAAAGACACCUUUGUGCAUCGAAGGCAGGAGGCAAGAGGGGGAAAACACUCGAAUGAACAGGGCAAGAACAAAGCUCAGGGGUGAAAUACUUAUCUUUAUUCACAAUUAACUAGCGGUUUACACACGGGGGCUGCCCGGUUACACUAGUUCGAGAGGUAUGCAUCGGCGGCAUCACCUGAGGGUCGGGCUCCGCCGCUUCACGGGUAGAACUUGCGGAAGUGUUCAAUAUUCUAGCUAUUGGGCACCGGCAAGCCGUCUUCGGUUUCCAGGCGGACAGCCCCCGCCUGGUCACCUGCACUAUCCAGAAGGGGCCCUCCCAUUUCGGAGUCAAAUUGUUCCCGGCCUUCGUUCCUUGUAUCCGGCGCAAGACAAGGUCUCCGUUCUCGAGCCCCCGGGGACGGACUCGUCUGUCGUGAUAACGACGGAGUCGCUGCUACGCGGCUCGCACAGCAGCCCGGCACCGAAGCUCUUCGAUGAAGUUUAGAUCGUCGGCCCUUUGCUCGUGUUGGCUGGUGUCGUCGUACGCGCGUACUCGAGGAGAUCCGUACUUGAGCUCGAGGGGCAGCACCGCUUCUGCCCCAUAGACAAGGGUGAAAGGAGUUUCGCCCGUUGCCUGACUAGGUGUGGUCCGGAUGGACCACAGCACGGGCUGGAGUUCUUCGAUCCAGUGCUUCCCAUGGCCUUUGAUCUUGUCAAAGGUUCUCGUCUUGAGCCCCCGCAGAACCUCUGCGUUGGCUCGCUCCGCCUGUCCGUUGCUCCUCGGGUGAGCGACGGACGCGAAGCGCAGCUUAGUGCCCAUGUUUUCGCAGUAGGCAUGAAACGCCGCGCUCGUGAAUUGCGUGCCGUUAUCGGUGAUGAUGCUGUUAGGAACACCAAACCGCCACACAAUGCCCUUAAGGAACUUGAUGGCCGCAUGGGCGAUCACCUUGCGCACUGGUUCCACCUCCACCCAUUUGGAGAACUUGUCGAUGGCCACAAACAAGUAUUCGUAACCGCCAACCGCCCUUGGUAACUUGCCGACGAUGUCUAGUCCCCAAACCACGAACGGCCACGAGGACGGGAUGGCAUGCAAGGUGUGGGCUGGUUGGUUGCUCUUCUUCGAGUGGAACUGGCACGCUUCGCACGUCCUCACCAGCCGCUCUGCGUCGGCCAGGGCCGUGGGCCAGUAAAAGCCAUGCCGGAAAGCCUUGCCAGCUAAAGCCCGGGAGGCCACAUGGUGUGAACAUGUGCCUCGAUGUAUGUCCUCCAACAGUGCACACCCUUCUUCCUGCGGCACGCAGAGGAGUUUGACACCAUUUGCACGCCUGCGGUAGACGCUGCCGUCUAUCAUAGUGUACAUCUUGGCUCGCCGCGCUACGCGCUCCGCGGCGACGUCGUCCUCCGGGAGAGCCUCCCCUUUCAAAUAGCGGGCGAUCUCUUCCGUCCAGGGAGGAAUUUCUCUGCCAAUGCAUGUCGCCAUAUCAGCGGCAUGGACCCCUGCUGCUGCAGGGGUUCCCUCGGUUGCCGGAGGGGCGUCCCCGGCAGCCGUCUGGGGGGUGACUGAAGGAGCCAGUUGCUUCUGACAGAACACCCCCGCCGGAGGCUUUCGGUGCUCUGCUGCCAUCUUGGCCAGCUCAUCAGCAGCGAAGUUGUCCUUCCGCUUGAUGUGUUCGGAGCGCAAACCCUUGAACUUCCGUUCUAGCUUGCGAACCUCUUCCACGUACGGUGCCAUUUGAGGGCAAUCGUAGUCCUUGUUCACCUGGUUGAUCACAAGCUGGGAAUCACCGCGAACAACCAGGCGCUUAAUGUCGAGGGCGACCGAAGCCCGCAGCCCGGCAAGCAGGCCUUCGUAUUCCGCCGUGUUGUUGGUGGAGUUAGCGAAGUCGAGUUGGACGGCGAGCCGCAGCUGGUCCCCUGUGGGUGACUCAAUGACGACCCCGGCCCCCGCUCCCUGGAGACUGAACGCACCGUCGAAGUAGAGGACCCAGUGGCUCUCGUCCAGCUUGCCGGGAAGGCCGGUCUCCGACUCACUUUCUUCUACGCCCGUGGACGUCCACUCCGCGACGAAGUCCGCCAGGGCCGUGCUCUUGAUGCUUUUGGAGUUGGCAAAGUGUAGGUCGAACUCCGACAGCUCCAUCCUCCAUUCGGCCACCCUCCCGGUGGCUUCACGGUUGGUGAGGGUCCUCCCGAGGCAGAACCCGGACACCACCGUGACGCGGUGCGCUUGGAAGUAGUGGCGCAACUUGCGGGACGCAAGGAGGAUCCCCAGAAGGAGCUUCUGUACUUGCGGGUAUCUUGUCCGUGCGUUGCGCAACACAGUACUGACGAAGUACACCGGUCGCUGCACCAACCGCUUCUGAGGCGCCGGGGUUGCCGGCUCUGGGGUGGUCCCUGGGUUUGAGGUGGUUGCCGGAGGCUGCUCAGCCCCCUGCCCCGCAGCCCCAAUCCCCGGGACGUCUUCCUCCCUCUCGGCAACCAGCACCGAGCUGACCACCUGGUCAGUCGCCGCUAGGUAGAGUAGCAGCGGCUCGCCCAACUUAGGGGCGACGAGGAUGGGCGGUGACCUCAGGUAUCGCUUGAGUUCCUGGAGCGCCGCCUCGGCCUCGGCAGUCCAGUCGACUGGACCCUUCUUCUUCAUUACCCGGAAGAAAGGCAGGGCACGCUCGCCCAGCCUGGAGAUGAAGCGUCCAAGCGCGGCAACGCAGCCGUUGAGGCGCUGGACAUCUUUCACCUUGCGGGGUGCCUCCAUCUUCUCGAUGGCUUCUAUUUUGGUCGGGUUGGCCUGUAUCCCCCGGUGUGAAACCAAGAAACCCAGAAGUUGCCCGGAGUUGACACCGAAGGUGCACUUAUCAGGGUUCAACCUGAGCUUGAUCUUGCGGAGGUUGUCAAAUGUCUCCCGCAGGUCAUCAAUCAGUGAGUCCCUCCGCUUCGAUUUGAUGACGAUGUCAUCCAUGUAGGCCUCUGCAUUGCGGCCUAGCUGGGGCCCCAAACAUUCUCGCAGGGGCGCGCUGGAAAGUGGAGCCCGCGUUCUUCAACCCGAAAGGCAUGCAUGUAUAGCAGUAGCAGCCAACCGGGGGUGAUAAACGCUGUCUUUUUCUCAUCCUCGACCGCCAUCUUGAUUUGAUGGUAGCCGGAGAAAGCAUCCAGAAAACUCAACAGGUCACAACCAGCAGUAGAAUCAACUAUCUGGUCGAUACGGGGUACAGGGAAGGGAUCCUUGGGGCACUACUACAGGGUUAGCCAGCCAAGUGGGGUACAAAACUUCCCUGAUCGCCCCGGCAGCCCUGAGCUUGCCCACCUCUUGCUUGAUGAAAUCUUUCCGCUCUUGUGCCUGCCACCGGAUCUUCUGCUUGACGGGGUGCGCGUCCGGGCGCACCGCGAGCCGAUGCUCAAUCACCUCCCUGGGGACUCCGGGAAGGUCCGACGGUUCCCAGGCGAACACGUCGGCGUUUUCCCGGAGGAAGGUGACGAGGGCGCUUUCCUAUUCGGCGGUCAGGUUCGCACCGAUGGUAACGGUGCGCUCCAUGUCGCCGGCUUGGAGGGGCAGCUUCUUCACUUUGGCGGCCUCCUCCCGAAGCCCCCGCCCCUUGCCGGGACGCGCGCUCGAGCCCGCGCCUCCUCCGGCUAGCCCUUGCGGGGUGGUGCGGGCCUUCUUCGUUGCCGGGGCGUCACCCGGCAGGGCGUCGUCCUCGACAACACCUUCGUCGCCGGCGUCAGCUGCAGCAGUGGCCCGGAUGACCUCGCCAACGCACCAAGCAGCGUCUUUGAGAUCGCACCCGAUGGAGAGGACUCCAUAGACGGACGGCAUCUUCGUCACGCCGUAGGCGCAAUGCGUAGCCGCCAUAAACUUGAUCAGCGCCGGCCGACCAAGGAUCCCGUUGUAGGGCAAUGGGGUGUGCGCCACGUCGAACACUAUGCACUCGGUCCUGAAUGCUUCCCGGGAUCCGAAGGUGACCGGCAGCGUGAUGCGUCCCAGCGGGCGCACGAUCCCGGGGUUCACCCCCCGGAAUGGUUCGGUGGGCUUCAGCUGCUCCAUCGGCAGCUGGAGCUUUUCCACCAGCCUGGCGGACAGGAGGUUAAGCCCCGCUCCGUUGUCCACCAGCACCUUGGUCACCGUCAUAUUGCUAAUGAUCGCGAGACGACGAAGGGUAUUACCCCGGAACCCAAUUGUCGCACCGGGUGGUCGUCGGCGCUGAAGGUGAUCGGCACGUGCGACCACCUCAGCGGCUGUUGCGGCUAAGCAUCCGGCAACAGCGCGCACACGUCGCGGGUGAGGCGCUUCACCGCGGUGUGGGAUGGGAGAGCGUAAGAUCCCCCAUGGAUGCAGGCGACGCCACGAGGCUCCUGGAAGCCCGGCUCGUCGCCGCCGGAGUGCUCGGACUCGCUCUGCUCCUCGGCGCGCGCCCUGUCACGCCCGUGAGGAGGGCGUUCCCGCGCAGCGAGGGGCGGACUGCGCCCUCCUUGGGGUUCAACCCUGCUGGCACCACCGCCGGCCGGCCUCGGACCCGCUCUGGGGUCGUUCGGGCAAUCUCGGGAGAGAUGCCCGAUGUCGCCACAAUUGAAGCAGGCGCCGGCGGUGCGGCGCUCCUCGUGGCGCGGCUCCCGCCGCUGCUUGAUCCCUUGCAGGACGCGCCAACUCUGCGCGUCGUGGGUGGAGUUGUUGUGGAUAGGACAGCGGAACGCGUCGGCCUGCUUCCCGCCAGAUUCUCCCCUCGGCGAGGCCUUCUUCGUGGGCCUCACGGCAGGAGCCCCCGAGUCCGCAGCGAGGACUUGCUUCCCGCUGCGCUUACGGGAAACCUUCUUCUGCUAGCCCUCGCCAGGGCUCGCGGCAGCCUGGGCUGCCAGCUCGGGCGCUAGGCGCCCCUCCUCAACCAUGGCGCACUUGUGUGCCAAGGCGUACAAGUCCUGCGUCGUCCGGAUCGGAUGCGUGCUCAGCUUCUCAUGCAUUUUGGGGUCGCGGACGUUGAUGGCGAAGGUGUUGAUGAUGGCGGCCGCCUCCGCCUCCGGGAUAGAAUAGGAGAGAUUGGAGAAGCGGUUGACGAAGUCCCGCAACGUCUCUCCUGGUUUUUGCACGAUGGUGUGCAGCUCCGCCAUGGUUCCCGGGCGCUUAUAGCCGCCCUGGAACGCGCUCACGAACUGCUCGCGCAGGUCUGCCCAGGUGGCGACGGAUCCGGCUGGCAGGUUGAGCAACCAGGUUCGCGCUGAUCCCUUCAGGACCAUCGGGAACCAGUUCGCCCUGACCUUGUUGUCGGCGCCGAUGGCAUGCAUGCCCAGCGUAUAGGUCAGGAGAAAAUCUUUGGGGUUAGCGGUCCCGUCGUACGUACCGAGCGCAGGCGCUCGGAACUUACGGGGCCACACCCCCCGCCGCAACUCGCGCACGAACGCGGUGCAGCCGUCUUCUGGGCCCAGGGGAGCAUCUUCUUGCUCCAGUGGGUGUUGGCGCUCCACCUCGCAUCUGCGCCGGCGCUCCAAGCGCGGGCGCAGAUCCUCCUGUUGUCGGGCAUUCAAGAUGCCACGCGCAUCGCCCCCCGGGAAGGUGGGCGACGAAUUCGAGGACCCCUCCGGGCCCCCGUCUACCAGGCCCCGCUGAGGACGGGGAGGGUUCUCCCCCUGUCGCGAGGCGGGUGGGGCGCCUUCGCGCUCUGAGUUCGGCCCGUGGCCGGAGCCUACCGGGGCACCCUCGCCUUGCGGCUGUUGGGUGGCCAGGGCGAGAAGCGCUUCCAACUCCUCGCCCCACGUCUCGUGCGCCGGCGUGCCCUGCUGCGGCUCGUACCGCACCAUAACGCGCGCGGCGACGAUGGCUUCAGCCGGGGUUCGCACGGGGGGCAACCAAUUUCCUGAGCGGCUGCUUCCUGCCCUGGCCCCGGACGCCUCCGGGUGCGCAGGGUGCGAACCCCCAGGGGUCGCCCAUGACGCGGCGUGCUCCGGGUGCCGCUACCGCGGGGCAUCCUCGGGUCGCGACUCCACCAGUUGGCUGGCCCGGGCGACGCCAUGCGUGCUCGCCCGACUGCCCCCAGCGCUGGGGGCAGCCAGCCCCCUCGGCCGAUUGUCGGUCGACGGUCGGGGAGGCGGUGGAGG
rnacentral:lncRNA from 1 species